rnacentral:lncRNA from 1 species
UCUGAAGUUUCUCUCUUCUCUGCCCACCCAGCACCUAUCUUUCUGUCCUUGGUCUGUAUCAUUUUAACUUAAUUUUACUGCAAAGAAAAGCUUGUCUUACCUUUCCGGUGAUUGCAUGAUCAGCAGGUGUUUUCGGAAGGGAGACACAUAUUUGUAAACUUAGAGAUAUAUCUCGUCAGUUAGAAAAUGUGGAGGCUGAAGGUUGCAGAUGGAGGCAAUGAUCCCUACAUGUACAGCACCAACAACUUCGUGGGAAGACAGAUAUGGGAGUUUGAUGCUGAUUAUGGAACCCCAGAAGAGCGAGCUGAGGUCGAAGCAGCUCGUGAAAAUUUCUGGAAAAAUCGGUUUCCGGUUAAGCCCAGCUGUGAUCUUCUCUGGCGAAUGCAGGUGAUCCCAGUUGUUUUUUUACUGUUUUUAUUGUUAUUACUUACUGUUAUGUCAUGAUUUGGGUUAACUUCAUGCUGUACCCUAAACCCAAAUCCAGCCCAGCCCAACUGAAUUGGACAGAUCUAAAGCCCAUUGGGCAGAGAGGACUUCUGUGACAACCCAUAUAUAUAGAAAAUUUAGUACUUGAAUUAGAGCUGUUUUGAUCUUAGUCCAUCCUAUAUUUGUUGUGUGUGUAUGUCUUUAAUUGGUAGAGAGACUACAAUCUUUUCAUAUUUAAAGCCAGAAGCAUUAUCUUUUCACAUUUAAAGCCAGACGCAUUCUCUUCGAUGAUUCUUAGAACUUCAGGAAGAAACAAGAACCGAACCUAUUGUUGUUUUUUUUACUGUUUUUAUUGUUAUUACCUACUAUCAUGUCAUCAGUAUUGAACAUUCAUUUGUUUUGAGGUUUAGAGUGCUUUUGCAUUGAUGCUAAUUAAUGAAGAUGUCUUUUGCAAAGCUUUCAAAUGGGUUUCUGAGUGCAUAUGAUGCUAAAAGAGAGAUGUUUUAGAAAACGGGCUUAGUUAUGAUGCUGAUCUCCAGGCACAUGAUGGUCAUUGGCCAGGGGAUUAUGGGGGUCCUAUGUUUCUACUGCCCGGAUUGGUAAGAGCUGACUUUUUGAAUGACUCAUGUUUCUCCAUUUGUAAAUUAACCAAUGCUAUUUGUCAGGGUUGAAUCUGGUGAGAAACACCCCCCCCCCAAAUAUAAUUUUUUUUUUCUAUAUAUGAUUUAUUCAUGUGUCUCAAUUUCCAUUUUAUCUAAUCCUUAUUUCCUCAUUGAAUAAGUGACAAUUGGGUGACAAAAUUGCAACGGGUCAUUACUUUAUAUAUUACGGGAGCUCUGAAUGUUGUCUUAUCAAUAGAACAUCAACGUGAGAUGUGUAGAUACCUUUUCAAUCAUCAGGCAAGAUUAUUUUCCUAUAUUUUGGCACUCUUAAAGUAUUAUGGUCUUUUGUUGCUGUUAAACUACCACUUGCAAUGAACUUUAGCUUUUGGGUCAAACGGUAGUCUAACAUAAUAUUAGAGUUUUGGUUCCAUGAUCUGAUAUCAUGUUAAGCUUUUGUAGAAGUGUAGUUUAACUAUCACUUCUCUUUCAUUUUAUAGGAUUCGAGACUCUAGAGAUAUUAACAUAAAUUAUUGUGUCGUCAUAAUUUUCUUUUGAUAUCAUUUUGAGAUGAGUACUUCCUCAACAUUAUUCUUCCUACAUACUCAUGUAAAGUGCUAUUAUUUUUAUGGGAAGCUAAAAUAUUCAACCAAAUGAAGCCUUUUACCAUUUACUUGGCUAGCUCUGGCAUUGCUAGUGAAGAAACAAAAGCAAUUAAAGGGAUAGCACGUUUUGUUGCAGAAUGAAGAUGGAGGUUGGGGGCUACACAUUGAGGGCCCGAGCACCAUGUUUAGUACUAUGCUAAGCUAUGUUACUCUAAGAUUGCUUGGUGAAGGAGCUUUUGGUGCAAAAGGAGCAAUGGAAAAGGCGCGGAAAUGGAUCUUGGACCAUGGGGGUGCAACUGCAAUAACUUCUUGGGGGAAAAUGUUGCUUUCUAUAUGAACUCAAAACUUUUGGCUUGAGAUAAAAUAUUAAUUGUUUUACAACUAUGAGUUGACAUUUGAUCUGCUUCUGAUGGCCACAGGUACUUGGAGCAUAUGAAUGGUUUGGGAAUAAUCCACUCCCACCAGAAGUGUGGCUAUGUCCUUACAUUCUUCCAAUUCAUCCAGGUCUCUCUCUCUCACUCUCUCUAAGUGUGUAAAUAUAAAUAUAAAUAUGAUUAUAAGUCUCGUGCAAUGAGGUGUAAAGGAUCAUGGUUAGCUGCAGAAGAAGUUAUUAAUCAUAUCAACUUGAUGCAUAACAAAGAUCCUAACUAGUGGGGAAAGUCAAAUGGCUAGAAAAUAUAAGUGGAGAUGAUUGUAACGCAUAAUGAAGGAUUGGACAAUACCUUCAAUAUAUCUAACUUACAUAAAAAAUAACAACAUGACUUAAUCAUAAAAUAUGAAUUUUUAAAUUAUGCCAAACUUUCCUUGACUACAAAAAGGGUUAGUGCAAUAGGUGUAGGAAAAAGAAUGUUUUUGUUAUACUUGGAGAGUUAAUUUACAACAAAUCAGGGCCCUAAAAUUAAAUUUAAGAAUUUAUAUUAAUGGAAAAAUAUCAAAACAAAUUAAAGAGAUCAUGAAAUAAUUUAAUUUUACAAAACAAUUUCUGGUGUCCAAAAUAGAGUGAAAAAAUGGACCUAUUGAAAUAUUGGUUUAUAUCUCUUAAUUGAAAAAUGAUUUUAGACUCAAACAAAAUUCUAUCAAUAUAUCUAGGAAGUCUACAACAUUAUGCAAUCAUGAGAAAAUUUUUAGAGAGACAUGAAACAACCUGAUUCAAUUUUUUAAUUACAAAGGUUCAAUAAUUCUAACAAAACGACAACAAGGUGAAUAAUCCAAACAUCACAAUAAAAAAUGAAUAACCAAAAAUAAAAUCGAAGGCAAUAAAAAUCAAAUAAAGGAUCUCUUAGCCACUAUCGUAUGUUAUCAAAAGGCCUCAAUCAAGUGAAAAUAAUUUCAAAGAAAAUAACUCUAAUCUUAAUUCUAAUAGGCAUCAAUUAACACGAGAUCAAUUAACCAUUCAUCAACUUCUAAGUAAUAUGUCAUCAACAAUCCGAUUAACAAUAAUCAAAGUGGCCUUCAUUAUUAGAUAUGCAAGAAAAUUGAUAAAGAGAUGAUCAGUUGAUUGGAAAAAAAUUAAUAUAUAUAGAUAAGAAUAAAUUAAAAAUUAAUAUUUUCAUUCAUAAACCUAAUCCUCCCUCACCAAGUUUAUUGACUUUAUUGGGUUUUCUCCAUGUGUAAAAUGACUUCAAAUUCAAUAAAAUUUCAUGUGUUAGGUUUAUUAACGAGUUUUAGAGCUCAAAAACCAAAUCAAGUAAUCCCAAAAUUUCACAGAUUGAAAGUGGCCUAAAAUGACUAUUCGCAGGUUCUCCUUUGCGCAUAAUUAUAUAUUUUUAAUAAAUAAAUAAACUUUAUUUAAAUAAAAUUAAUGCAUUGGAUUCUUUGAUUUAGAAAUCUAUCAAUUCCAUAAAUUUUUUUUGCAAAGACACCUGCUGGUCAUGCAAUCACCAUCCUCGUAUCAGAGGCUCCAUAAAGGUAAGACAAGCUUUUCGUUGAAAUAAAAUAUAUCAAUAAAAAAUACUUGAGAGUCCAAAAAUUCCACAAACGUGGUGGGGGUUGGUGAAAAAAUCCAUAAUACUUGAAGUGGGUGAAAAAUGAAUUGAUAGAAGUGAUGGGGGUUGGUGACUUGGUGUUGUGCUUCUCUAUGAAUGAGUGAUUCCCACCUGGAACUCGCCAUUCCAAGUUUCUGAAGUUUCUCUCUUCUCUGCCCACCCAGCACCUAUCUCUCUGUCCUUGAUCUGUAUCAUUUUAACUUAAUUUUAUUGCAAAGAAAAGCUUGUCUUACCUUUAUGGUGAUUGGAUGAUCAGCAGGUGUUUUCGGAAGGGAGACACAUAUUUGUAAACUUAGAUAUAUAUAGAGAUAUAUCUCUUCAAUUUGGUGAGUUAGAAAAUGUGGAGGCUCAAGGUUGCAGAUGGAGGCAAUGAUCCCUACAUCUACACCACCAACAACUUCGUAGGAAGACAGAUAUGGGAGUUUGAUCCUGAUUAUGGAACCCCAGAAGAGCGAGCUGAGGUCGAAGCAGCUCGUGAAAAUUUCCGGAAAAAUCGGUUUCCGGUUAAGCCCAGCAGUGAUCUUCUCUGGCGAAUGCAGGUGAUCCCAUCUGUGUCAAAAUAUGCACUAGAUGAGUUAUCCUACUUCUUUAAUUAGUUAAUUUAAUACACUGAAGAAUAAUAUAAUGAGAAAGUGCCAAGUGGGCAUAGGGUGAACACCUUGAGCUUAGAUUAAUUAAUUGGUCUUGUUCUAGCUUACGUCUUCAACUUCUUAUAUGUACUAGAUGAGUGCAUAUAUAUAAACAACAUGUGAAAUGAAGUAGUAUAUGGAAAAAUUGAGAAAGGAAAUUGAAAAGAUAGAUGUUAAAAUCUUUUAAUAGAUGGAAAGAGAGAAGGAAAACAUGAAUUUUGGAGUUAUGCUUUGUGCAGAGGGUUUGGGUUAACUUCAUGCUGUACCCUAAACCCAAAUCCAGCCCAACCCAACUGAAUUGGACAGAUCUAAAGCCCAUUGGGCAGAGAGGACUUCUGUGACAACCCAUAUAUAUAUAGAAAAUUUAGUACUUGAAUUAGAGCUGUUUUGAUCUUAGUCCAUCCUAUAUUUGUUGUGUGUGUAUGUCUUUAAUUGGUAGAGAGACUACAAUCUUUUCAUAUUUAAAGCCAGAAGCAUUCUCUUCAAUGAUUCUUAGAACUUCAGGAAGAAACAAGAACCGAACCUAUUGUUGUUUUUUAACUGUUUUUAUUGUUAUUACCUACUAUUAUGUCAUGAUCAUGGUCAUUAGUAUGUUAGGUUUUUAGUUGCUUAUAGAACAUUCAUUUGUUUUGAGGUUUAGAGUGCAUAUGAUGCUAAAAGAGAGAUGUUUUAGAAAACGGGCUUAGUUAUGAUGCUGAUCUCCAAAUUAACUUGAUAUGCCAAAAUAUUCCUGUGCAAGAAAUGCUAGAUUGCAUACUUCGAAAAAAAUAGCUCACAAACUUGAGGGAUAGAUAUAGACUUCUUUUAUUUUUCAAAGCUGGGAAACUUUAUACUGCAUGUCAUUGCUGAGACUGUGAGAAAAAAUAGGAAGAGAAAUGAAAAAUAAGUUGUAUGGUUGCUUUUAGAAGUUUCCAUGUUCAAGUCAAAAACAUGUUGGGUAUUGACACUUCUCUGGCAGACUGUACAUGUGUUUCAAGGAUUUAAGUUUUUAAUUUCAUUACAUUUCAUAUUUAUAAUUGCUUGCUGACUUAUUAUUAUUCUAACCUUUUCUUUCUGAAAUAUAGUUUGCAAGGGAGAACCCAUGUGUCGCAAACUUGCCACAAAUCAAAGUUCAAGAUUUGGAAGAAGUGACGGAGGAGGUGGUGACGACUACCUUACGAAGGGGCUUAAAUUUCUAUUCAACUAUGCAGGCACACGAUGGUCAUUGGCCAGGGGAUUAUGGGGGUCCUAUGUUUCUACUACCCGGAUUGGUAAGAGCAGACUUUUUGAAUGGCACAUGUUCCUCCAUUUGUCAAAUAACCAAUGCUAUUUGUCAGGGUUGAAUCUGGUGAGAACCCUUUUUAUUUUUUCAUUUGAUAAUCUCAUUUCAUCUCUAUUGAACUUUAUGCAAGUCUUUUUAGAACCCACUGGAGAAGGCCAAAUAUAAUUUUUUUUCUAUAUAUGAUUUAUUCAUGUGUCUCAAUUUCCAUUUUAUCUAAUCCUUAUUUCCUCAUUGAAUAAGUGACAAUUGGGUGACAAAAUUGCAACAGGUCAUUACUUUACAUAUUACAGGAGCUCUGAAUGUUGUCUUAUCAAUAGAACAUCAACAUGAAAUGUGCAGAUACCUUUUCAAUCAUCAGGCAAGAUUAUUUUCCUAUAUUUUGGCACUCCUAAAGUAUUACAGUCUUUUGUUGUUGUUAAACUACCACUUGCACAAGAACUUUAGCUUUUGGGCCAAACGAUAGUCUAACAUAAUAUUAGAGUUCUGGUUCCAUGAUCUGAUACCAUGUUAAGCUUUUGUAGAAGUAUAGUUUAAUUGUCACUUUUCUCUUUCAUUUUAUAGGAUUCAGGAAUUUGAUGACAGAGAUAUUAACAUAAAUUAUUGUGCUGUCAUAAUUUUCUUUUGAUAUCAUUUUGAGACGAGUACUUCCUCAACAUUAUUCUUUCCACAUACUCAUGUAAAGUGCUAUUAUUUUGAGGGGAAGCUAAAAAAUUCAACCAAAUGAAGCCUUUUACCACAAGCUCUAGCAUUGCUAGUGAAGAAACAAAAGCAAUUAAAGGGAUAACACGUUUUGUUGUAGAACGAAGAUGGAGGUUGGGGGCUACACAUUGAAGGCCCAAGCACCAUGUUUGGUACCGUGCUAAGCUAUGUUACUCUGAGAUUGCUUGGUGAAGGAGGUUUUGGUGUAGAAGGAGCAAUGGAAAAUGGGCGAAAAUGGAUCUUAGACCAUGGGGGUGCAACUGCAAUAACUUCUUGGGGGAAAAUGUGGCUUUCUGUAUGAACUCAAAACUUUUGGCUUGAGCUAAAAUAUUAAUUGUUUUGUAACUAUGAGUUGACAUUUGAUCUAUUUCUGAUGGCCACAGGUGCUCGGAGCAUAUGAAUGGUCUGGGAAUAAUCCACUCCCAACGGAAGUGUGGCUAUGUCCUUACAUUCUUCCAAUUCAUCCAGGUCUCUCUCUCUCACUCUGUGUGUGUGUGUAAAUAUAAAUAUAAAUAUAAAUAUGAAUAUAAGCAAGGAGGUGAUUGUAAGGCAUAAUGAAGGAUUAAAGAAUUAAAAUUGCUUUUAGACAACUAGGACAAGAAUAUUACGUUAGAGGAAAGCUAUAGUAUCUAAUUUUAUUCUUCAUGUUAGAGAAUAGAAGCAAACUAUGGAGCAAGGAGGUUUCUUUAAAUAGAAUCCUAGACUUUGAAAGGGCUAGUUUAAUUAUUUUUUUAAAAAAUUUUCAACGCAUUUGGGUUCUUGCUAAUUUUAUUUAUAUUUUUGGGGAUUUUCCCCUAAAGUGUCCUCUUUAUUCCUUAAUUCAUUACCAUCAAAGCUUUAACUGAUUGUUUAAUUACUUUGCUCGAGUUUUUUUUCUUCCCUAUUAACAAAACUAGGUUCUAUUUCCACUUUAUUAAAGACUUUAAUUUUAUUCUCCUUGACAAACAAGUUACCAAAAAAUUAGGCAGCUUUUCAGGUUGAUUUUAUCUCACUGCUAGCAGGAUUUUAUUUGUCAAUGGUAAACUUUCAAAUUUUUAUCUAUAGGACGAAUGUGGUGUCAUUGCCGAAUGGUGUAUUUGCCCAUGUCGUACAUAUAUGGGAAGAGGUUUGUUGGUCCAAUUACACCCACAAUUAUUUCUUUGAGAAAUGAGCUAUACAUAGUCCCUUAUCAAGAAGUAGAUUGGAAUCAAGCCCGUAAUCAAUGUGCCAAGGUUGGUUAGCAUAUUUUCUCCUUCUGAACUCAUGCUUUUAACUUUUACCAUCCCCUUAUGAUGCUAUUUUAGCUCUUGUACUAUGCUUCUGAUCAGUAUUCUUGCAUAUGCAUGAUCUACAAGUUUAUCCCCGGAAAGUUUAUCCUAUUAGUUGUUGACAUAUUUUAUGUUAAUUAUCACUGGGAUGUCUAUAAGUUUCUCUCCAUUUUGAAGCAUACUUGUAUCUGGUAGAUGAUCAAGGAGUAUUAUUGUUGUGAAGCAAUAUUCCCUAUGUCUUGAUCUCACUUCUUUUGUUCCAAGGAGAUACUGUAAUGACCUGCACCCAAUUGUGUAGAUAUUGUCUGCUCUGAGCCCAAAGGGGCCCUCAUGACCUUUAAAUGUGUUUACCAGGUUAAGACGAGUCUCUACAUAUAUAGCAUCAGGAACUUUCUCCCCAUCCGAUGUUGGAUAUCAUAAACACCUCCCAUGUAUACAUAAUGUGCUUGUUGUGGGGCCAAACAAAUAAAUACUCCAUACGGGGCCAAACAAAUUCCCACAUCGAGGUCAAGGAUCGGCUCUGAUACCAUUUAGAACAACCUGCUCCCAAUUUCUUAGAUAUUGCAUACUCUAGGCUUAAAGAGGUACUUAUGGCUUUAAAACACGUCUAUUAGGUUAAAAGGAGUCUCUACAUAUAUAGCGUUAGAAACUUUCUCCCCUAUUUGAUGUGAGGCAUCAUAAACACCUUCUCAUACAGACAUAACGUCAUCAUUGUGUUCCAUAGAAUUGUGGGGCCUAACAGAGAAACACCCCCUACGGGGCCAAACAAACCUCCACACUGGGAUCAAAGAUCGACUUUGAUACCAUUUGUAACGACCCACACCCAACCAUGUUAAUAUUGUUCACUUUGGGCCCAAAGAGGCUCUCACUGCCUUAAAACACGUGUAUAGGGUUAAAAGGAGCCUAUACAUAUAUAACACUAAGAACUUUCUCCCAUAUCCAAUGUCAGACAUCACAAACACCCCCCAUGUGGAUACAACGUCCUCGUUGUGGGGCCAAAUAGACAAAUACCCCCUAUAGGGCCAAGCAAAUCCCCACAUCGAGGUCGAGAAUCGACUUUGAUACAAUUUGUAAUGACCCACUCCAAAUCGUGUAGAUAUUGUUCACUCUAAAUCCAAAAGGGCCCUCAUAGAUUUAAAACACGUUUACAUGGUUAAGAGGAGCCUAUACAUAUAUAGCACUAGGAACUUUUUCCUCUAUUUGAUGUGGGACAUCACAAACACCCCCUAUGCAGAUAGAACAUCCUUGUCGUGGGACCAACUAAAUAAAUACUCCUUUGAACCCAGAGCAGACAAUUUCUACAUGGUUAGGAACAAGAAGUUACAAAUGGUAUCAAAGUCGAUCCUAGACCCUAGUGUGGGGAUUUGUUUGGCCCCGUAGAGGGGGUAUUUGUUUUUUUAGCCCCACAACAAGGAUGUUGUGUCUAUAUGAGGGGUGUUUGUGAUGUCCCAUUAGAUAGGGGAGAAAAUUCCUUGUGCUAUAUAUGUGAAGACUCCUCUUAACCCUAUAGACUAUUUUUAAAGCCGUGAGGACCCCUUUAGGUCCAGAGUGGACAAUAUCUAUAUGGUUGGGUGCAGGUCAUGAUAAUUGGUAUCAGAGUCGAUAUUUGACCCCGGUGUGGAGGUUUGUUUGGCCUUGUACGGGGUGUUUGUUUGUUUGGCCCCGCAAUCCCUUGCGACACAACAAGGAUGUUGUGUUUGCAUGAAGGGGUGUUUGUGAUGCCUCACAUCAAAUAAAGGAGAAAGUUUCUACCGUUAUAUAUGUAAAGGCUCCUCUUAACCUUGUAGACGCAUUUUAAGGUCGUGAGGGCCCCUUUAGGUCUAGAGCAAAUAAUAUCUACAUGGUGGGUGUGAGUCAUUAUAGAUAACCUUGAAAAUUUUAUUUUUUGUCAUUAGCAAGUAUGAUAGUCACAAAAGUAGUGGUUCUACUAUGGGCUUGUGUUGUAUUGUCUAACUGAAAGUUGAUUGCUGAAAGUGCAAAAUGCAACACCAAAGUGCUCCAAUUGUGCUUUGGUGGAUUGUUUUUAGCCCAUACCCCAUGCAUAACUCUCCUUUCACUAAGGAUGAAAGGGUGGUGGUGGUGCCAUAUAUGCUUCUUCUUCAAAAUAACACAAAUAUAAGCAAAAGUUGCUUUGUCAUGUUGACAUCUUGAUCUAAUUGUGGAGUGUUUUUUUUUUUUUUUUUUUGUUAUUGUUGGUUUUUUUUUUUUUUGGUCAUUGUCUAUUUUGACUCCAUGUGAAGUUCACUAUCUUCAACUUAAAAAAAAAAAAAAUUAGUUAUUUAUUUAUUUUUUACUCCAAUAGAGAUAAUAUUUUUAGACUGAAGUUUCUAAGGUUCCUUGAUCAAGUCUCUCUUCUGCAAAAAAAUUAUUCCUUAUUAACAUGCGUAUGGCCCAUUUUAAAAUAUAAUAUAAGCAUUUUAUCAAUAUGUAAUUUGAUGUGUUUAUUGGUAGUUUGGUUAGUUAGGUGUAGAUGUUAAAAUAAUAUCGAUACUUUGCAAAUAUUAAUUAAGAUAUCUAACAUAUUAUGAACACCAUGAUUUUCAUUUGUCAUUGAAAAAAAAUCUCUAAAGUAAGGUUAUGUUCCUGAAUUUGGGAAUUUAAUGGAAAUUUACAAUGCAACACAUAUGAAUAUUUUUAUAUAUAAAUUUCAUGUAUUUCAUGUUGAGUUGUGGAUUGCAGUGAUACUUUAUGAAUAAUAACUAUAGGAGUUGCUCAUCUUUUUCUCUAAGCUUAUUAUUGAGUAACUAAGGGUCUAAGAGAAACUUUUUGGCUGUUGUGAAAAGAAAUAGGUUUUCUUGCAAAGAUGAGCCAAUCUUUUGAAACUUGUUGAGAAUCUCAAUAAGAUCAUUUUUUUUAUUUGGUUGUUACCUAUUUUUUAGGGUUAAUCUAAUUGUUACCUAUUUUUUAGGGAUAAUUUUUGUAUUUUUUUAGGGAUAAGUUGUUGUUGUUGCUUUUUAGGGAUAAGUUGUAUAUUUUAAAUUUAUUUUGUUCCUAAAAAUCUGGGUCUACAACUGUAGAUUUAGUUUGAUUUGUUGUAGCUUAUCUAUAAAAGGAAGCAUGUUUCCAUUCCUUAUUCAAUUAAUAUACAACAUUUUUUUUAUCCCAUUCUAGAUGGUAUCAAAGGCAAGUUAAUUGGCUAUUCCAUUUCUUUUUGUUCUUAUUAUUUUCAAUUCUAUUCUUCUUCCCUUUCAUUUUCUAUUUCUAUCUCUUUACCAUGUCAGAAAUUUAUGAAUCUACUCAUUUCAUUACUACUAUUUCCAAUUCCUUAAAAUUACCCACAUCCAAUUCUCAUUCCCACUCUAUCCAAAUCACCACAAUUCGCCUUAAUGAGACCAAUUUUCUUAGAUGGUCACAAUAUGUUCAGAUGUACAUUAAGGAUUGAGGCAAAAUUGGUUAUUUGACUAGUGACACCAAAGAACUAGCGAAGACAGACUGUAGCUUUGCCAAUUAGGAAAAAAUUGGUUUGUGACUUUUAUUGAUGAUCACAAACGCCUAUGCUAGCUUUAUCUAAUGAACUCUAAAUAUGAGGUUGCAAAACUCUUUUUGGAUUUUUAUUCUAUGGUUAAAACCAAUUUCAAACCAAAAGAAGUAUUCUUCGGUGUGACAAUGGAACAGAAUUUUAUAAUGAUUGUUUAGGUGAUUUUUUUUCUAGAGAAAGGUAUUUUACAUCAAUCAACUUGUAGGGACACUCCUAAAAAAAAUGGAAUUUCAAAACGUUAAAACAAAUAUUUACUUGAAGUAGGUAGAGCUCUUAUGUUUCAUAUGAAUAUUCCUACACACCUUUGGGGGGAUGCAAUUUUAACAAGUUGUUUCUUUAUUAAUAGAAUGCAUAAAAGGGUUCUAAACUAUGCAACACCUUUACAAACUCUUAAGAAUAAAUUUCCAAACACACGCCUCACUUUAGAUUUACCCUUAAAAUUUUUGGUUGUACAGUGUUCAUCCAUGUACCAAUCUCCGAUCCAAAUUUGAUCCAAGAACCAAAAAAUGUAUUUUUCUAGGUUAUGCUCCUAAUAAAAAAGGGUAUAAGUGUUUUGAUCCUACCACUAGGAAAAUUCAUGUUAGUAUGGAUGUCAACUUUAUUGAAAAUAUCUUUUUUUUCAUAACAAAACUACUCUUUAGGGGAAGAGCUCUAAUGAAGAUCAGUUUUGGCAACAAGAACAACCAAAACCUAGUAUUUUUCUUAUUGAUAAAAAAAAAGAUGUUUUAAUUAGUGAAAAAGAGGGAAAUACUGAUUUAUCUAUGCUAAGUAAAAUUGCUUCAUAAACAGGGGGAAAAACUCUACAACAUAUCUCCACUGAGUUCGGUGUUUAUACUAUGUGCAUGUUUAAUUCUAAUACUGAGAAUAAUCUAGUCAAUCUUGAGCAUGGUCAAUCAUCAUCUCCUAGUUCUCAAAAUCUAGGUAAUCUUCCUAUGGACUUCACUCAUUUACCUCUUUUUGAUCUUGAUAUCUCUAUUACAAUCCGAAAAGGAGUUAGGAAUUGUACCAAAUAUCCCAUUGCCAAAUAUCUGUCUUAUCAAAGACUCCUAUAAAAAAUAUAGAGCUUUCACUUCAAAUAUUUCACUUAUUCAUUCCUAGAACUAUACAAGAAGCACUAGGACACUUGGGGUGGAGGUGAGUGGUUCAAGAAGAAAUGAAUGCUCUUUUAAAAAAUAGAACAUGGGAAAUUGUUUGAUUUACCUAAGGAGAAGAAGGCAAUGGAAUGCAAGUGGGUUUUCACAAUCAAGUGUAAGCCCAAUGGUAGCAUUGAAAGAUAUAAAACAAGGUUAGUAGCCAAAGGUUUCACACCAACCUAUGGAAUUGAUUACUAAGAGACCUUUGCACCAAUUGCAAAGAUCAAUUCCAUUCAGAUUUUACUUUCUCUUGCAGUACACUUUCAUUGCCCUUUACACCAAUUAGAUGUGAAGAAUGCUUUCUAAAAUGGUGAUUUGAAGGAAGAAGUGUUUAUGGAUUUAUCAUCGGGUUUUGAAGAAAAGUUAGGAAAAAAAAGGUUUAUAGAUUAAAGAAGUCCUUGUAUGGUCUUAAGCAGUCUUCUAAGGCUUGGUUUGAGAUAUUUGGAAAGGUAAUCAAGCUUCAAGGAUAUAUUCAAAGUCAAGAUGACCAUACAAUCUUUUAUAAACACUCAAGAGAAGGAAAGAUUGUUGUGUUCAUAGUUUAUGUGGAUGACAUUAUUCUAACUGGUGAUGACAGUCCAGAACUUGAGAGAUUGAAGAAAGCUUUAACUUGUUAAUUUGAGAUAAAAGAUUAAGGUCCCCUGAAAUAAUUUCUUGGUAUGGAGUUUGCUAGAUCCAAGAAAGGUAUUUUCAUUUCUCAAAGAAAAUAUAUACUUGAUUUAUUAAGUGAAAUAGGUUUACUUGGAUGCAAGGCUAUAAAAACUCCUAUAGAACCGAAUUUGAAACUCCAACUAGCAAGCCUAAUAAAGGUGAUUGACAAAGAGAAAUAUCAAUGCCUAGUUGGAAGACUUAUUAAUCUCUCUCAUACUCAUCCCGAUAUUGCAUUUGCGGUAAGCAUGGUGAGUCAAUUCAUGCACUCGCUGAAUUAGGAACACUUUGAUGAUGUGUACAAAAUUUUAAGGUACUUAAAGGGGACUCUAGGAAAAGGACUUCUAUAUGAGAACCGAGGACAUCUCCAAGUGGAUGUGUUUAUUGAUGUAGAUUGGGCAAGGAGUGUAAUAGAUAGGAGAUCAAUUUCUAUGUAUUGUACUUUUGUUGGAAACAAUCUUGUGACUUGGCGAAGUAAAAAGCAAAGUGUUAUGGCUAGAAGUAGUGCUGAAGCUGAGUUUAGAGUUGUAUCCCAUGGCAUUUGUGAAGUUUUGUAGAUUAAACAAUUACUUGAAGACUUUAAGGCUGCUAGCCCUUUACCUAUGAAGGUUUUUUGUGAUAAUAAAGUUGUCAUUGUCAUUGCACAUAAUCUAGUACUCCAUGAUAGAACUAAACAUGUCAAGGUUGAUAAACAUUUUAUCAAGAAGAAACUGGAAGAUGGACUAAUUGUUAUGCCCUAUAUGCCUACGGUUGAACAAGUUGCAGAUAUAUUCACUAAGGGAUAGCCAAAAAGCAGUUUGAUGAUUUAGUAAGUAAGCUGCCAUGAAUGACAUCUUCAAACCAACUUGAGGGGGAGUGUUGAAAAUCUUAAUCAGAUCAGAAUUUUUCUGAUUUGGUUGUUACUUAUUUUUUUGGGAUAAUUUCGUUGUUACCUAUAUUUUAGGGAUAAUUUGUUGUUGUUUUUUAGGGAUAAGUUGUUAUUGUUUUUUUAGGGAUAGGUUGUAUAUUUUAAAUUUAUUUUGUUCCUAGAAAUCUGGGUGUACAACUAUAGAUUUAGUUUGAGUUGUGGUAGCUUAUAGCUUAUCUAUAAAAUGAAGCAUGUUUCCCUUCCUUAUUCAAUUAAUAUAAGACAUUUUUUCUCUCUCCCUAUUUUAGAAAACUAAUUCACCUAAUGAAGAAUGGGAGUCUAUUUUAUGUAACUUACAACUAAAUUCUGGUUUUUGUUGUGGUUCAACUGUUAUAUUUCCUUAAAAUUCUAAAUAAAGUCAACCAACAAUAUACAUUUCGAUUAAUUUGUAUCAUUUUUCUCCUUGGGGUUUAUUUGAUUUGCAGUUUCAUGAUGAUGACAUCAUUUUAAUAAGCAUUUAAGAAGGAAAUUUAUGAAGAAGAUCAAUUGCAUCUUUCUUAUGCUUUUGGCUCCUAGUUGAUUUUGAUAUUUGUCUUUACAAUUAUUGCCAGGAAGAUCUAUACUAUCCACAUCCACUGGUUCAGGAUAUUUUAUGGGCAUCUCUUCACAAUGUGAUUGAGCCUAUUCUGGGGCAUUGGCCCGGAAACAAGUUGAGGGAGAAGGCUUUAUGCACUGUGAUGCAGCAUGUACACUAUGAAGAUGAGAAUACACGGUAUAUAUGCAUAGGGCCUGUGAACAAGGUACAUGUGAAGUAUAGAAAGGUCCUUUGAACUGCAAUAAAUGAACUGAUUACUAUUAAUUAAGAACGAAACCAGUUAGCUUCUUCAAUUCGACCACUCUACUCAGGUUCACUUGAUCUAAUUGUCUGUUCUUUUCUGUUCCAUGAAGCUCUUGAUUUCCUGUUAUCUGAUUUGUACAGGUGUUAAAUAUGCUUUGCUGCUGGAUUGAAGAUCCAAACUCAGAGGCCUUUAAGUUGCAUAUUCCAAGAAUUAUUGAUUAUUUGUGGAUUGCUGAAGACGGCAUGAAAAUGCAGGUCCAUAAAUAGUAUUACUCUCUUUCUAUUUUAUCUCAGAGUGCCAUAUGUAGCCAUUUAUAGUGGCGUGUUGUAAAGGCAGAUUUUGUAUUUUAUUCCUUGGAAAUUAUUGAAUUUUAUUAUCUGUCUGUCAUACAUAAUAAGUUCACUGCAGGGUUGUAAUGGAAGUCAAUUAUGGGAUACUUGUUUUGCUGUUCAAGCAUUUAUUUCAACAAACCUAGGUGAAGAGUAUGGUCUGACUUUAAGGAAGGCACACCAAUUCAUAAAAAAUUCUCAGGUUCAUGUUGCUAUUGAAGUUUGAUCUCAUAAAUCACCUACAUAUAUUAGCAGUUGUCCAUAAUGAUUUUACUCGACUAUUCCUACUUUGUUUUCAAGGUCCUAGAAGAUUGUCCUGGAGAUCUGAAAUUUUGGUAUCGUCACAUUUCCAAAGGUGGUUGGCCAUUCUCAACUGCUGAUAAUGGAUGGACAACCUCUGAUUGUACAGCAGAAGCAUUGAAGGUAACAACUGAACUAACUCAAAAUACUUGUUAUACGGGCACUUUUAUUGUGUAUUUCUCUUGUGCAGGCUGUUCUAUUAUUAUCUAAACUUCUAUUGGAAACAGUUGGGGAACCAUUAGAUAUGGGGCAAUUGUUUGAUGCUGUAAAUGUUAUCCUUUCAUUACAGGUAUGGACAUAUUGAGUGGGUAUAGUUAUGGGGCGUUGGAACAACAAUGAGUGUUUUUGCAUUUUAAAAUUAGGAUUUGUGGAAAGUGUCUUUAUAUGCAUGGUUUGGAGUAACUUUAUAGACAUAGAUGCCUCUUCUGUACACAUUUUGAAAAACUGCACAUAAAAAGGGAUUUGAGCAAUUUUCAAAUACCAUCCAAUUUCUCUCCUGCCAAAUUGUCCAAAAAAGAUACAAAAGGGCAGCCAACACGCUCUCUUACAUCCCUUUCUGACAUAGAGUCCAUUCCAACUUAACAAGACCGGUGUUAUUGAAGUCUUCUCUGUGCAGUUCUAAAAAAUUUAUUAUUGCCUUAAAAGUUCUAGGCCACAAAACUAUUCCAAAAAUUAUACAACUUCAUAUCAGAUUUUAGAAUACUUGUAUAUUGCAAAUUUAUGCUUGUUGGCUGAAACUUGUUUUUGAAUCUUGCUAGCAUACCUAGAAUGGGAUUCUCAACUCAAGUUUUGUGUUGAAGAUUUUUACAAGUGUGUGCUUUGGGAACCAGUUCCAAUUCCUUGUUCAGCCUCUUCUCCCAUCUUUUCUGAUUAUCAAUAUUUAAGAUUCCCUGCUGUCUGACUUCAGGCAAGUGUUGUACUGAUUUUAUAGCUUUUUCCUUGGAAUCUCAACAGAAUGAAGAUGGUGGUUUUGCAACAUACGAAUUGACAAGAUCUUACCGAUGGGUGGAGGUAACUUUGAUAAAUACUAAUGCCAUUUUAUUAGUUUCACCUGAAGUUGCCCCAUGAAUGUAGCAUAUACAGUCCAAGCACAUUUCCUGUCAAUAAGUAGGAAAUUAGGUUCCAAAUGAAUGCCAACAUUAAAAGCAUCCAUGUGAAAAGUUUCAAUGAGUAUUCUAGAUUUCUGGCUCUCUUUUUGUGAUUUCUGGUAUUGAAUUCAGUGUUCUGUAAAUUCUGUUUUUUGGCUCAUUCUCAAUCAUUCUUCCUUUUAGCAAGUAAUCCUUGUGCUUUUCCAUCUUAUUGAUGAUUAUUGAAACAGGGUAGAAAAAAUUUCACAAACUAUUUGGUCCUUAAAGAUAAAGAAAGUUCCAUAUACCAUAACUAGGGAACAACAUGAUGUAAACUAUUGUGACCUUACUGCUCAUGGAAAAGCCUGCUCCACAGUUGAUUCUCUAAAUAAACUGAGUUGUCAUCUAGCUUUAUUAUUGAAAGGAAGGUGAGAUGGGCUUGUUAUUGAAAUCCAAAGAUAGAUGGAAUAGGAUUUUUUUUUUCCUUUCCCUCUUUUUCCUUUCUUUCUUCUUUUCUUCAAGGCAAAGUUGCACUUAAAACAACACCUUGAUUUGCUUACUGAUUAAGGAAGGUCAUAUUACAUAGAGCAGCUCCAUCGCUACUUGAUAAUAUGUGUGGGAUUGGAACCAUGAAGUGGUAUGUCAUACUCCAGAAUCUGCUAUAAUUUGGAUAGACUUGCUUAAGUCACUUAGGUCAUUUUUGGAUUGGUUUUUGGUGAGUCAAAAGUUCUUUAAGUCCAAAAAACACUUCUUAUAAAGCCAUUCUUUCAAGCUUAUAUUGUACGCUAUUUUAUUUUUAAUGAAACUUUCAUGAUUCCAAGAUUGCCAUCUUAAAAUCACGGGUUCAGCAUCUUGCUAAAGCUAAAGCAAGAAACUAUCCCAACGAGGCCUUAGAUAGAUACUAUAUGUCAUAAGCUUCAUUUGAAUAAUAGAAUGUCUUCUUUUCAAUAUUGAAGGAUAAUGGAUAAAGAUUAUAUUUGAAUUGCAAGUUUAUUUUAAUUAGAAGCUUGAGAGCUAAUAGCAUCUGGCACUCCUAGGAGGGCAUCACAAUGAAAGGAGUCCAAAGGAAUUAAAGAUAAAUUUAGAUAGAACCUAGGAUAGCGUCGCAAUGAUCGGAGUCCAAUGGAACUAAAGAUAAAGUGAGAUAGAACCCAAGAUGGUGUCACAAAGAUGGAAAUUCAAAGGAACUAAUUGAGCAAUGAUCUUAUUGAGGCUUGUGAUAGAACUAAACAUUUUAGAAAAUUGAAAGUGUAUGUGAAAACUACAGUUUUCAACUUUUCUUUUUCUUAAUUUCUUUGCAUGUUUGCACAUUUACAUCGUUCCCAAUAUUUGUUAUGCUGAAGCUGAAGAACUAAACCUCAUGUGGGCAUAUAGCACCAUUAUUCUCCUUAUUUCCAUCAAGACAACCCACAUCUUAAAUUGCAGUUUAUUUUAAUUGUGUUGGGAAUAAAUUCAAACUAUUUGUUAUUUUUGUUCUAUCUUUCAGUUAAUCAAUCCUGCUGAAACUUUUGGUGACAUUGUCAUUGAUUAUCCGUAAGAUUUUAAGCACUCUUCAGUUUCUAAUGUUUAUGUAUAAUUCUAGAUUGUUUUCACCUAUCUGGAAAAAAAAAGAAAAAAAAAAGAGUUGGGUUGUUGGGGGAAAGGGGUGGGUGGUGUUGUGGGUUGUCUUGUAGUUUGAUUUGAUGGAGAAAAUCUUAUAUGCUGUUACCUGGGUGGCACUGCAGAUAUGUGGAAUGUACCUCAUCUGCAAUUCAAGCAUUGACAUCGUUCAAGAAAUUAUAUCCUGAGCAUAGAAGGCAUGAAAUAGAAAAUUGUAUUUCUAAGGCUGCCAUGUUCAUUGAAGACAUACAGGCUCCUGAUGGCUCUUGGUUUGUUUUUAUUUAUUUAAUUAAUUAUUUUUGCAUCUAUGCACAAGCCCUUGAAAUUGUUCUUUUGCUAUAGCUGCAUGCUCUUGCUAUUUUGUUAUAUCAAUCUCUCAGCUUAAUGUAGGCAGUACCUAAGAUUUGUAGGGGUUAUAGGGCAGUCAUUACGUGUAUGCAAUUGAUUUUGAGUAUUUUUGACAGGCCUGGGGAGUCUGUUUCACUUAUGGUGGGUGGUUUGGAAUAAAGGGAUUGAUAGCUGCUGGAAACACAUACAAUAAUUGCCCCUGCAUUCGUAAGGCUUGUGAUUAUCUGCUGUCCAAGGAGCUUGCUUCAGGUGGUUGGGGGGAGAGUUAUCUGUCAUGCCCGAAUAAGGUUUUGAUUUCCAUUCUAUGUGGAAUUUCUUUCCUUUAUAGUUCUAGUGUGCCUCAUGAUGUUUGUUCUUAAUAAAUGCUCCUUAUAAAUCUGCAAAGUCGAGCUUUUAUGAAGAUUGCUAUCAUCUUUGUGGUAGCUCAUCAUAGAAUUUAUUGCAGAGCACAAAUAGAGCAUCUUCUUUGGAAUUAAGUAGAGUUUUUUUCCCAUAGAUCUUACUUGCAUUAAAUAACAAUAAGAACCUUGAUGUGUUUGGCUACAUUCUAACCAAUUUUAGGAAUAGACUAAUCCGAUUCACAUUCAUUUAUUAUCUCUGUUCAUCAUCUAUCUUAGAUACUAUUUAUAAUAAGUCGCAUCUUCUGCCUUGUAUGGUUGAUUAUUCUAAUGCCUCUUUCAACAGGUGUACACAAAUCUCCCUGGAGAUAAGCCACAUAAUUGCAAUACUGCUUGGGCUAUGUUGGCUCUCAUUGAUGCUGGACAGGUAAAGUUGGACACUAGUGGUGCUAUUUGAUGCUAAUUUAGUGUCCUCAAGGUUUUUUUUUAUAAUGUGUAGUUAAUUAAAGCUUCCUAUACCAUCUUUCUCUGUUUCUCCAUAUCUAGUAUGUUUGUUCUUUGUUGGUGAAAAGAAAAGAAUCAAUCUAAUAAGUUGGGGUUUUAGUUAGAAGUCUGGGGUAUUAUGAUAAUUUCAGUGGGAGAGGGUCUAAAAUAUCUAAAUAAUUUGAUUUAGCUCUUGGGCUAUGUUGUAGGGAUAAAUCAUUUCCCUCUUUCUAAUAAUUUCGAAUAUUUAUAUUUAAAGUUGGCUUCUGCGUUUGGUGUUUUGUGCACAAAGGCGGGCAUUUGGAUUUUUUUUCUUUUUGUUCACUGAUACAGAUUUUGUUGUGAUUUUCACCUAUAGAUGCAUACAUUUGUUCUGAAGAAAUAGUUGCACCAAAAAGAAAGUAGUAGUUAUUCUUUCAUUAGACAUUCUUUGCUCCCUUAUGGCCUCAUCUCUUGAGUUUCUCUUUCUUUUGCUUGCAUGUUCAUAGAAUGCUCCAAAAUUAUCCAAACUAGGUUAGUUCUUUUUCUAUUUUUUGUCACUCCAGAUCAUAAUCUUCUUCAAGCAAUUAUAUGUUCUUCUAGAUUUACACCAUAAAUCUUCUUCAAUCAUUCUAGUGAAACAUGAGAUAUUGUGAAAGUUCCCAUAAAUUGAUGAAAAUCAUUUUGUUUGUGAGGCAAGUGACUAAAAAAUGAGUUCCCUAUCAGAAAGUACCUUUGGGAGAUACGCAAGCAUGGGAAAUUACCAUAUUCCAAUGGUACCUCCUUUGUUUAAGGGAUAUGGGGGGUUUCUACGCCCCCUUUGUUUAUAUGUUAAGUCUGCUUUUCUGUUUUUCCAUGAUUGGAUAUGGUUUCAGGGCUUUGGUGAAUUCUUAAUUGUUUUUAACUUUAGACAAUUCGUUGCAUUACUUUCUAUUUUUUGUUGUUCUUUUCCUUUUGAAAGGCCGAGAGAGAUCCAAACCCACUACACCGUGCUGCAAGGUUAUUAAUAAAUUCCCAAAUGAAGAAUGGAGAUUUUCCUCAGGAGGUAACUCUUAUGACUUCCAUUUUUUUCUCGUAAUUUUUUAUUUUAUUUUAAAUUUUUUCUAUUGUAUGCAAAAACUACAAUUAGGUGGUCAUCUAAUGGUUGGUUCCCCUUGUAAGAAAUCAAAAUUAUUAAAAAUAGGAAGUUAAUUCAUGAUCCAUGCUUCUUCCCUGAUUUUCAAAAAAAUUUCCCUUUAUUUUCUGUAAUUUAUCUGCACACACCAAAUGCCUUUUCUCUGGCAUUCUUUUCUCUUUUUCAUGAAUAGGAAACAAGGUUCUGAAAACUACAUCCAAACAGGCCUUUGUCAUUCUGUUAAAGUUGUUUGGUAAAAGUUCAUGGAAUAAUUUAACGAUUGAUGGUAAUACUUCAAAGACAUUGUAACAGUAUCAGGCUUAUGAGCAUUUAAUCAACCUUUGUAGCUCUUGAAAACGUAUACCUUAAAGUUUUCUUUUUGACAUUUCUUCUCAAAUAUGAAAGACUUAUUAUGAGAAUCGUCAAGAAAACCCCAGGAAGGUCGAAAACAAAUGCUUGGAAUUUGGAUAAGAAAGUUGAUCUGCAACCCCAUAAAUAUUUUAGUAAUUUGUUUCAAUUAUAAAGAUUACAUGUCUGGUUAGAAAAUGAGUAUGCCUGUUGAUUCCCAUUGCAACAACUUUGCUGACUCCCAUGCCUGAAUAAGUUUAAUAGCUUCAACAUUUCUUCAUACAGGAAAUCAUGGGAGUCUUCAACAAGAACUGUAUGAAUAGUUAUUCUGCAUAUCGGAACAUUUUUCCUAUAUGGGCUCUUGGAGAAUACCGGUCUCGGGUACUUCAUUCUUCCUAAAAAUGUAAUUAUAACGUUCUAAAGAAUGAAAUGCAUGCUUGUCUACUGAGUGUAGCCCUUGUCCUGUUUAUAGCGAAUAAGGGUCUCGGGUGGGACUUUUCUACUUUGUGUUGCUUGAAUUUUCUGGGAAAAGAAACAUUAUUGGGUUUAAGAUAAUAUGUGGCCAUAGGGUCUAAGAUAAUCUGUAAGAAACCUAAGCUUAUCUUGAUUUUGAUCCUUGGAAAGGCAUGUACGCUGGGGAGGCCCUAGCUAUUAAAAUUUAUGUAAUUGACAAUCGUAGAAAGGGUUGUGUGUGUAGUUUGAGCCAAAAGAAUUUCAUAGGUCUAACAUGUAAAAAUCAUGCAUAGUUGAAAGGAAUUCGUUGCAUCUAUGAUGCUAGGAACUUUUCUUCCCAAUAUCAUGCAUAGAUAUUGUCUGUUUUGAAUUUGGAUUUUAAAAUGUGUUUGUAAAGAGGAAUUAUAUAUAUAUAGUAUCAAAAAUUUAUCUUUCUAGUCAAUGUGGGAUUUCAUAUUAAGCAGAAUUGAGGGUAUUGUUGAGUAAUGUUAACAUUGAUGGUAAUUCAAUGCUUAAAAAAUGAGUGUGUAUGCAAGUUUUACAUAGGUAUAGUGCACCAAGGCUUAACAAUAUUAGGCCAUAAGGCAUAGUUGAUGGGUAACAAAUGAAUACUUUCUUAUUACCCUUUGUCCAUCCUUAGGGAUGAAGGAGGUUAGGAGGUUAGAUUAAUUGAAAGACAGUUAUUAUUUUAAAAAUAAAAGUUAGGUCUACAUUUCAAGGUUGAGAAGAAAUAGAAAUAAAAUAUCUCGAGUCGAUGCUCAAGUACAGAAUACUAAUAUAACCUGUCACAUACUCUCAAGUAAUGCAAAUUAUUCAUGUGAUAAAAGUUAAUUUUUUUUUCUUUUUUUAAGUUAGAAAAAAUGUUUUUUAAAAAACAAGGCAUAAAACUUUUGGACAUAUCUGAAAAUUAGGGUUUGUGAGGAAGUAGGCAAAUUGGGAGCUUUUGUGCAGGAAAAAGGCAUUGGAUCCACUAUGUUUCGUCCCCAGCAGCCACGCCAUUUGAUUCUUGUGCCAGACGAGUGUUAUCAACAAAAUUUAUAAAACCUAAAUCACCUUACACUAGGGUAGCAUGGCUACUAUAGUAUAAUGGCUUUAUGAUCGUCCACAGGUAUGGGUUUUCUUCGUACAAGUGACUUUAGUGAAGGUAAUGAAAUGGUGCUUUUCCUUAUGAAAAUUAGCUUUUAAAGAAAAUGGAAUUGUGGUUGAAAAAGUUGAUUUUAAGUUAAGCAAAAAUAGCAAUUGAAGUCAACUACAAAGAGAAUGUUUCUUGGAGCUUUAGGUCACUAGGAUCGGGUUCCUUAGGCAAAGGGGGAGAUUUCGGAUCUUCUCCUCACAUUAGGGACAAUAACAUAAAGGAUGGUUAUCUCCCGAACCGGUUUUGUAUUUAGCAAUUAAGAUUUGAUCCAAAGGGUUCAUGAAACAUGGUAGUUGCUUCACAUUAAUGGCUACAAACACUAAAGACCCUCACCUUGAACCACCUUCCAAUGACUCAUAAUUGAUAACUAAUGAACAUCCAUGGAUCUAGCAAUAAGCAUCCAUAGAAUCCGAAAAGCUUACCAAAUAUUGGCCAUUCAAGGUGAUUCUCACCUUGAACCACCUUCUAGUGGCUCGUACUUGAUAACUAAUGGACAUCCAUGGAUCUAGCAAUAAGCAUCCAUGGAAUCCGGAAAGCUUACCAAGUAUUGGCCAUUCAAGGUGAUUCUAAAGGAUUUAAAGUUAAACCUUGAAAUAAAAACCAUUAAGGGUUAACAACUACCUUCAUUUAAAGCAAGGAAAACUCCUACCUUUGCAUUUGGGUCCUUCACCUAGUUUCCAUCACUCCUAGAAACGUAAAACUUAGCCACUCAUCCCCUGAGAAAUCAUCCUCAGAGGUUGUUUGGCUAGAAAGAAAAAUGAAAACAAAAAUGAGAAGGAAAGGCAGAGCAAGGGCUUUGUAUAUUUCUUCCUACAGGAAUUACAAGUGUCGUCGUUUAAGAUUUUACAAAAAGAUAUAUUUAUAUAUAUAUAUAGAGAGAGAGAAAGAGAGAGAGAGAGAGGUCUUUACAACCCCCCUUUAUAGUUCCUAACCAAGAAAUCCUAUCAUUGGUUCAUUACAAGGAGAAAAUAGUAAUUUACACAAAAAUCUGGAGAUAAAAAUCUAAUGGAGUCGGUGCACAGGAAGAUUUCGCAGACCAUGCGAAAUUUCUCAUGGUGUGGUUUCAUAGGGCAUGCGAAAUUUCGCACAAUGUGCGAAAUUGUCCUUCACUCAGUCCUGCAGCUACUCCUCCUCUUGAUUUCACAUAGACAUGCGAAAUUGCUACAUGUUGGAUUUUUUCCUCUGAUUUUCUUCCUUGCAUCUCUGAUUGGCUUGACAACCUAUUGCCAAGCUUGGCAAAAGGCUAUGAAGUGCUCCAAAACUCGGAUUCUUCAUGUAUUUGAGCUUCAACUUGCAUUGCCAUGGAUUACACAAAAUUCUCCCUCAUUCUUUGCUUGUUUCAAUGAUAAAAAAGCUACAAAAAACACUAAAACUAGCCAAAAACUUAUUAGUAACCCUUGCUAGGUUCCUUAAUGUGCCAAUUGAGUUAAAAAGUAUUAACUACUACUCAAAAGUGUUUAAAAUAGUUAAUUUCAAGCUAUAAAAGAGCACUUUUUGAGUAGUAAUCACUCCCCCCAACCGACACAUUGCUAGUCCCCUAGCAAUGAAGGAGAGAUAAAGAAAAAUAGACAGUAAAAUAAUUUACAAAAUCAUGUUAAUCACUCAAAAAAAUUUUCAAGUGGCAUGAUGCGGAUCAUACUCUCUCAUGGAACAUCAAAGAGGCAAAACUCAACCUUCAACAAGAGUCAUCAAAUAUCUUGCUUAAUCACAAUUUAUAAAAAGUAGGCAUUACGCAAAUUUAAGCAUCAAAAGAAUUUCCACUCCCAAAGGUCCAAUCCUUACUCUUCCACAAAAAUCUAGGUGUUAAGCUUAUUAGUUUCCGAUUAUAGUGUGUUGAACUAUUCGCUCCCCCCAACCUAGUUCUUUCUCAAACCUUAGCAAACUGACCAACCUCCAAUAGGCUAAGAACGAACCUAUUUUAUUUCACAAUUUUUUUUAUUGUAGGAGUGCAAUGCUAAAGGUAUUGUUUUCUAAAGUGUCCAUGUAACGGGGAUCCAUCAAUGACUCCCAACCAAUCAAGGUUUAGGGUAUCAAGCUUUAAGGAUCUUUCGACCACUAACCCCUCAGAUUUCACCCUGGAUUUUUUAGAUUGAAAUUCAAUACCCAAGCACCUAUAAUAUGUUAAACUCUACCUAUUCACCCUUGUAACGAGCAUUGAAACCGGUGACUCCCAACCAAUAAAGGCUUAAGGCACCGGGUUUUAAAGACUUUCACCGCAUACCCCUCGGUCCUUGCUCGGGUUUCAAGGCAAGUGAAACACUUUGUUUUUUUUUUUUUUCUUUUUGUGAAGGCUUAUUGGCCUUUUAUAAGGUGUCCCAACACUAUUAAAACAAGGUCAAAGGUACCAAGUCGAAAUUUUUCUAAGUUCAGGGGGUGAGAUAGUUUUUCAUCUUAUAACCGAAACCUAAUGUGCACAGUGUGUGGUAAGAUUAAAGUGGAAGAAAUAAGGUUGAAUUCAAUAGGAGUUUCAAUAAUUCAUCAACCUCAAUAAGCAUAAUACAAACUCUAAGAUUCAAGUAAAAAGACAAGAACUCGAUUUCUCCCAUUUCAUUUUGAGAAUUUUUCCUUAAUAACCAUGGAAAGUAGAGUAAAAACUUUUAAAAUUAAGCAAAAAGUAACUAAAUUAACAAAUUAACCUAGCAUUAUUAACAAUACUUCCUUCCUCAACUCUCCCCCCAACCAAGAUCAACAUUGCCCUCAAUGUGUCAAGAGCAAUUGAAAAUAAAGGGAGAAAGUGGUACCUCCUAAGUGAAAUGGAGUUUGAGUCGUAUAUGAGAAACCACAUGAGUCAAAAAACAAAAGAGUAAUGAGUAGAGGAAAUUGAAAAAAUGCCAAGUAAUAUAAAAAAGGAUGUCUAUAUAUUAAUUUGAGAAAGUAUAAUAUGAGAUAUCAUCAGGUAAUACAUCAAAUCCCAUAAUAUAAAGCAUCAAAACAAGGAACAAUCUCGACUAAUAUAAUAUGUAAAUAUAAUAAGAUAAAGAGAUGUCCUAUGAUUAAGUAGUAGGAGCCUCAGGUGGAGAUGAUGUAUCAUUAGGUGUAGCUAUGACUGUGUCAACUGUCUGAGGCUCAUCUUGAGGAUCAACUAAAGCAAUGACAUCUAUGGUGGCCUCCUGAGGUGGCGGGAUCUGGACCUUUGUUGUGGUAGUGUCCUCGACUGGAAUAGUAUCCUCAACUGGAGCUAAAGGCUCUAAUGAUGCAGGAAGGUCAGGCUGAGGUGGAGGCAGAAGACCCAGGUGCUGCUGGAUCUGGCAAAGUAUAGCAGUCUGCUGGUUCUGCUGGGAACCCAUCUCAGCCAUCUGCUGGAAGAGAGCGGUGUGUGUGGUAGAUAGUGUCUACAAGGUAGCUACAAUGCCGCGAAACUUCGAAGCAGAGAUAGUGAUGGAAGGCUCGGAUGUAGUAAGAGUAACAGGUGGAACAGUAGGAGUCAUAGGGGGCGCAGCAGAAACAACCUCAGGCAUGGGCACUGGUGGUGCUGAAGUAAGUGAUGCAGGGGUAGACUAUACUGAGGCUCUGUCAAAAGCUCGCCCUACUCUGUAGAUACUGGAGUAGACUAUGCCUGCUUCGUCUGUGGGGACUCUGGAGGUGCUACCAUGGGAUGGGCUCCUGGAGAUGCAAAAUAGCCCGCCAACUGAUUCUAUUUGUCAAGAGUGAAUCGCUCUCGACAAAUGCGGCGUCGCUCGUGCUGAGGCUCAAUAGGAAAACCCAUAUGCUUUAAGAUCUAGCAAAGCAACCUCGAGAAUAGCAAUGGAAUGGUGUCCGCCCUCUAAAGCUUCUUCCUAUGAACCUUCUCCUCAAAGUGGACAAGGGAGGCCAUGAUCAAGUGGUGCGGGCCAAAGUAGAAGCCCUCUGAUAUGCGGAACAAAGCAUCCAAGAUAGCUCAUCGCCUCCGUACCGAAUGCUAUAGGGGAAAGAGUUUGGAGUGUAACAUCACAUCUACGAGGAGCAUCCUAGGUGGAAGCUCCUGUCGAAGAAGGAUUGAAUCUGUAAAGGUCCCCCUGGAUAAAAUGCGAACCAUGUCCCUUUGAGAUAUUAGGGACCACUGGCGGAAAACAAAGGGAUCAACUCGCUCGAAAGGAAUCUGUAGAGCCUUUGCAAUAUUUUUUGCCUUGAGGAUACCAUGAUGUCCAUCAAUGGUGAAGUGAAUCGAGGUAGGACUUGGGACGCCACAAGUAGUCAUGGACUGGUAAAAGUCUAAUGCUACUCUGGGAUAAAAGAACUCACGAGGAGUCAUAAGCUGCUCAAGAUAGUACCUCUGCAGUAGGCCAUAAGAGUCUCGAAGCUCAAGCUUCUGUCGAAAGGCCUCCUGAUCAAAAUAGAACUCCGAGUGGAAAUGUCUCAAUUUGUAAUCUGAGUUGCCCUCAAUGGGCGGUGCUGUGAGCAUCGGGUGUCUAAUAAUAGACCCCGGUGACAUGUUAGAAGGAAGCUCAAAAUCUGCAGGAGCUCGAGCAUGUGUAGCUACAAGAGGCUUAGGAUGUGGAGCUCUGGAUGACUCGCCUGGGUCUGAAGUCCUGGCUCUCUUGGCAAGAGGGCGCCGCACUAAACUCUGAGGACGCAAAGCAGUCGCCCUUUGUGUAGUAGGUGGUCUCCUAGUCUCAUACCUACGCUGAGAAGCAGAAGAGGAGGGACUAGUGGGCGCCCCACCCUCAGAAGGGGGAAUCUACGGGGCCUCUAUGGUGGCAAAUCAUGAGGUACCCGAGCAGAGAAGGCUCUCUGCCUCGGAGUGCGACUCUACAAAUGGGCAGCAAGGGCCCCUUGAGUCCUUUCCAUAUGGAAAUGGAGAAAUAGGCCUUUAGUCCAUGCUCGAAGGGGGGUGUCGAAUGGGAGAGGGAUGAAGGAGUGAGAUGCGAGGAGGAGGGGCGUGUGAACAGAGGGUGGAACCAGACAAAGGCACAGGGUGACACUGUGAAGAGGCCGUAAGAUGGCAAAGAGAUUCGCAAUGGGAGGGUGCUUGCGAAAUGGGAGAGUUAGGGUUCGGGAGUUAUUUAAAAAUAAAUUCGCAAAGGCAUUUCGCAGACCAUGCGAAAUUCCGCACAGUGUUGGGUGUGCGAAAUGGGUUCGCAGACCCCUUAUAUUUGUGCACAAUGUACGAACUGGUGUUGGGUGUGUGGAAUGGAAUUAAAGGGCUCAAAACGGGCAGUAGCUGACCUUACUUUGAGAAGGGUUUUUCAUACCCUGCGAAAUUUUUGCAAGGGUGCGUGAAAUGCCUUGGUGAAUUUUUUUCUUCAGGGUUUUUCCUCUGCCAAGAAUCUUUAAGGACAUGCCCAUCUGCUUUGAAGUCCCCUCUGAAAUUGAUCAUCAAAAACCUAAGUUAAAUCAAACCAAAAUGAAAUUAAAGCGAGAAAUCAAAAUCAAAACAAGUAACGAAACAAGAAAACUCUCAAAUAAAAAAUAAAACAAAAAGAUAUGGACUUGAUAGUCUUUAGAAAGGCUAAGUCCAUUCAAAAACCAGUCUUGUCAAGCUUGAUGUGGAUCAAGGAGGAUGAAUUCCUCCUUGUUACAAGAAAAAGGCUCCACAAAGGGCUUGAGAUGGUGGCCAUUCACUUUGAAGCUACUAGUGCUGUUGGAGUUGUGGAGUUCCACUACUCCAUUUGAAUGCACUUGGUGAAUGGUAAAAGGACCUAUCCACCUUGAUUUCAGCUUGCCCGGAAAGAUGUGGAGCUUAGAGUCAUAAAGCAAGACUCUUUGUCCCUUUUGAAAAUUUUUGCGGGAAACCAACUGAUCAUGUCACCUCUUCAAUCUCUUUUUUGCAAUUUUUGAAUUGAUGUAGGCAUCAUUUCUCAGUUCCUCCAACUUAUUGAGGUCUAAGAACCUCUUCAUCCCAGCUCUGCUCAAAUCCAUGUUGAGCUUCUUGAUUGCCCACCAAACCUUGUAUUCCAAUUCCACAGGGAGAUGGCAUGUUUUGCCAUAGACUAGGUGAUUCGUGCCUACUUGGUGUAUCAGCUGAUUCAUUUCCAACUGGUGCUCCUUGAUUGAGGGAGUAAUCAACAAAAUUUAUAACCUAUUACACCAUGAACUAGGGUAGCAAAGACAAAGCUACUAUAGCAUAGUGGCUCUAGGAUCGUUCACUGGGAUGAGUUUUCACUUCACAAUUGAUAUUAAUUCAAAGCUGAAUUGGUGCCUUUUCAUUUCAAGGUUAGCUUUAAAAGAAAACAUAAACUUUAGUUGAGAAAGGUUUGGUUUUAAACUAACAAAAAAUAAUAACUAAUUUUAAUUAUAAAGAAAAGUGUUUCUUGGAGUUUAGAUCACUAGGCUCAGAUUCCUUGUACAAAAAGGGAGUUCCGGUCACUUGUUUCUUUUCCUCGCAUUGGGGAUUUAACAUAUAGUUAUUUCCCGAACUGGUUUUGUACAGAUGCUUCCCAUUAAUGGGUUCAAACACUAAAUCCCUCUCACUGAUGCACCUUGCAAUGGCUCAUACCUCUCACCUAGCACUUGCCAUUCAAGGUGAUCUUUAACCUUGGAUUAACCCUCAAAAGCUCGCAAGAGAUAACUAAUGGAUGUCUCCUUGGAGUUCAAAAGCUUACCAAGUGUUGGCUAUUCUAGAAAAUCCUACCUUCAAACCACCUCCCAAAGGCUCGUAAGAGAUAAACUAGUGCAUCUCUAUGGAUGGAGAUCACUUGCCUUACCAAGUGUUGGCCCAGGUGAUUUAAAGGCGUUUUAAGUUAACUAAAAAGAUAAAAACCAUUAACGAGUCACACUUUCUCUUCAUUAAAAACUAAAACAACAAAACUUCCAAUUUAUGCAUGAGGAAAUUUACCCGGCUUUCUUCACUCCAAGAGACGAAGAGCCUAGCCUCUCAUCCUCUGAGGAAAAAUCCUCAGAGUUUGAUUGGCUAGAAAGUAAAAUAACAAGAAAACAAAAAUAUAUAAGAAAAGCAGAGCAAGUGCUCUGUAUUUUACUUCCUUACAAAACUGUACAAAUGAUUGAUCGUCGAGAACAAGCUCCUGAGAUUUCCUACAUAUUUUAUGUAAAGAAAAUUACAAACUAUAUAUAAGGGGUUAUUCACCCUUUGUUCUUACUUAAAGACUAAGGAAUCCUAUGAUUGGUGGGUUACAAGGAGAUUUUAGGGAUUUAGACAACAAAUAUCUAAAGCAACAUAUCUCAAAAUAUCCCAAAAUGUUGGUCGCAAAUAUCUGGAAGCUUCAAGAGAACACCGUGGCACUGUGCAGAAAUAUAUCUCAAAAUGUCAGUCGGACAUAUUGGGAAGCUUCAGGAGAACAUCGUGGCAUUGUGCAAAAUGGUUGCGAAACUCUCCGGAUAAGCGCUAUCAGAGGAUUUGGAUAUGUCUGACCGGGGAAGUUGAAACACUCUCCUCUCCCAUCCGGCGUCAGGCGCCGGAUGCGAAAUAUCCGAAGAAGGUGUGUGCCGAAUGUGAGACAUCCGGGUGGAAUGGCGGUGGAGCAGAAUUCCGGAUGUGAGACAUCCGGGUAGAAUGGCGGCGGAGCAGAAUUCAGGAUGUGAGACAUCCGGGUGGAAUGGCGAUGGAGCAGAAUAUUGGAUGUGAGACAUCCGGGUGGAAUGUCGAAGGAGCAACUCCAUCUGGAUUCCCCAAGAGGAAAUGUGGUGCGUUACCCUAUCCGGAGCAACUCCAUCCAGAUUCCGGAUUUGCUUAUGAAAAAGGAGUUCAAAGCUUCGGUUCUUCAUGUUUCUGAGCUUUCCAUUGCUUUGCCAUGGAUUCCAAAGAACUCUCCUCAAUCUCAGAUUGCUUUGGUGAUCAAAAAGCUAUCAAAACACCAAAACUUAACACAAUUUGAUUAGAAUUGAUUGCAAGGGUCCUUAAUAUGUUAAUUGGGUUAAAAGGUGAUAACUACUACUCAAAAGUGUUUAAAAGAGUUAAUUACAAGCUAUGAAAUAGCACUUUUUGAAUAGUAAUCACUCCCCCCAACCGACAUAUUGCUAGUCCCUUAGCAAUGAAGGAGAGAAAAAUAAAAAUAAAAAGUACUAUAAUUUACAACAUCAUGCUAAUCAAAAAACAAUUUCCAAGUGGCAUGAUGAUCUAACUCUCACAUGGAACAUUAAAGAAAUAUAAACUCAAAUUUCAAAAAAAGUUAUUAAAUAAUUUGUCUAAUCACAAUUCUUAAAGAGAAGGCAUUAUGCAAAUUUAAGCUUUAAAAGAGUUUCCACUCCCAAAGGGUCAAACCUUACUCUUCCACAAAAAUCUAAGUGUUACUUAUUAGCUUCCGAAUAUAGUAUGUUGAACUAAUCUCUCCCCCCCAACCUAGUUCUUUUUCAAAGCUUAGCAAACUGGUCAACCUCCAAUAGGCUAAGAACGCACCUCUUUGUUCACAAAAUUUUUUUUCAUUGUAGGAGUACAAGGCUUAAAGGUAUUUUUUCUAAAUUGUCCAUGAACGGGGGUCCGUCGAUGACUCCCAACCAAUUAAGGUUUAGGGCAUCAAGCUUUAAGGAUCUUUCAACCACUAACUCCUUGGAUUUUACCCCGGACUUUUGAGAAUGAAAUUUUAAUACCCAAGCACCUACAGUAUGUUAAACUCCACCUAUUCACCCUUGUAACGAGCAUUGAGGUCGGUGACUCCCAACCAAUUAAGGCUUAGGGCACCAGGUUUUAAAGAUUUUCACCAUAUACCCCUCGGACCUUACUCGGGUUUCAAGGCAAACAAACAUUUUUCCUUUUUUUUUUCAAAGGCUCAUUAGCCUUUUAUAAGGUGUCCCAACACUAUUAAAUGAGGUCAAAGGUACCAAGUCUAAAUUUUCCUAAGUCAAGAGGGAAAUAGUUUUUCAUCUUAUAAUCAGAACCUAUUGUGCACAGUGUGUGAAUAGCUUAAAGUGGAAGAACUAAAGUUGAAUUCAAUAGAAGCUCAACAAUUCAUCAACUUUAGUAAGCAUAAUACAAACUCUAAGUCAAGUAAAAAGACAAAAAUUCAAUUUCUCUCUUUUCAUUUUGAAAAUUUUUCCUUAAUAACCAUGGAGAGUAGAAUAAAAACUUUAAAAAAUUUUAAAAUUAAGCAAAAAGCAACUAAAUUACCAAAAUAACCUAGCAUUAAUAACAAAAACUUCCUUCCUCAACUCUCCCCCUAACCAAGCUGAACAUUGUCCUCAAUGUGACAAAAGCGAUUGAAAAAUAGGGAGGAAGUGGUACCUCCUGAGUGACAUGGAGUUUGAGUUGUAUAGGAGAAACCACAUGUUUCAAAAAAAACAAAAGAGUUAGUGAGUAGAGGAAAUAGAAAAAUGCCAAGUUUAAACAAAAAUGAUGUCUAUAUAUGAUGUAUCAUUAGUAAUACAUCCAAUCCUAGAAUGUAUAAUAUCAACUAAUAUACUAAGUAAAUACAAUAUAAAGAAAUGAUCAAGGAGCGGGGUCCUCUGGUGGACAUAAUGGCUCUGGUGCUGUCUCGUGAGUGGCCUGAGGUGGGACAUCAACAUGAUGGUCUCCGCAGGUGGAAUCGUCUCCUCAGUUGGAACUCUCGGCUCUGAUGGCCUAGGAAUAUCAGUCUGAAGUGGAGCAAGGCCUAGAUGCUACUGUAUCUGACGAAGGAUAGCAGUAUGUUGGUCAAGGAUAAUAGAAUGUUGAUCCUGCUGAUCUCGGAUGUCUCUCAUUUUCUGAAAUAGAGCGUCGUGUGUGGUGUUGAGUGUUCUGAAUAAUAAUACCAUGCCACAAAACUCUAAGCCAGAAAUGGUGAUAAAGUCCUAUGAUGGAGGAGGUACAACUGAUGGAACAGGUGGUGUAGUUGGAGGAUCAAUAGAGGCGGUCUAAGGCAUAGAUGGUGCAGCAGGGGUGGAUGAAAUAGACUCUGUGGGAUGCUCGUCCUGUUGUGUCUGGUCAGGCUGUGCUGGUACUAGAGGUACUGGCCUGGGUGGGGCUGCUUCGACUGAAUUCCUCUCUACUAACUGUGUCCAUUGGUCGAGAGUGAAAUGCUCUCGGCAAUGGUGGCGGCGCUCGAGAUGGGGCUCAGUAGGGUAGUCUAUAUGCUCCAAGACAUGGCAGAAAAGCCUCGGAAAUAGUAAUGGAAUCGCGUCAGCUCGUUGUAGCUUCUUCCUAUGCACUUUCUCCUCGAAGUAUAGGAGAGCGUCCAUGAUUAGAUGGUGUGGACCAAAAUAGAAACCCAUAUAUAUCCUGUAUAAUGCAUCCAAAAUAGGUCCUCGCCUCUGCACUAAAUGCUGGAGAGGAAAAAUGUUGGACCUCAACAAUACAUCUACUAGGAGCAUCUCAGAUGGAAGCUCCUUACGUAGUAGGCAUGUAUCUCCAGAAGUCCCUCGUGAUAGAAUGCGAACCAUGUUCCCUUGAGAUGUGGAGAUCCAUUGUCUGAACUGCUUUGGAUCCUCUGGCUGAAAUGGAAUGUGGAGAGCCUCAGCAAUAUGCCUAGCCUCUAAGAUACCCUGACGUUCGUCUAUAUUGAAACGAAUGGCUAUAGAACCCUGGACGUCCUAAGUAGUCAUAGACUGAUAGAAAUCCAUCGCUACUCUAGGGUAGAAAAACUCUCUAGGAGUCAUCAGACACUCGAGAUGGUACCUCUGGAGCAAUCCCAACGAAUCUCAAAGGUCUGGCUCCUGUCUCAUAGCCUCUAUCUCGAAGUAGAGCUCAGAGUGAAAUGGUUUGGCUCUACAAUCCAAAUUACCAGGAAUGGGAGGCGCGGUAACCAUUGGUCUCUUGAUGAUGUCUUUAGGAGCAGUGCCUGAAGAUCUCUGAAUAUCCUCUAGGGCCUAAGCAUUGGCUGGAGCCUGACUAGAUGUCUCUCUAGGGCCCGAGGUUCUGGCUCUCUUUGGUAGACCACGGGGUACUGAUGGCUCUGGGGGUGGAGAAAUUGGUGGUCUCUGUGUCGAAUAUCGGCGCUGAGGAGGGCUAGAAGGCACCCCACUCUUAGGAGAUGGUAUGGUCAGGGCCUGAGAGGCCUGAGAUGGAUCCUAAGGAGUUGAGGCGCUUGGCUUGGCCUCGCGAGAUGCAGACGGAUCUAUAUGGCCCCCUCUGGUGUACACCAUAGCUGCUAUGGACGAGAUGUGUAUUGCUUUGGUUCUCCUUGGUUGCCAUGGUGCGUGGAUUGGUGAGGAUUUUUCUUCUCAAGGCGGCAGUAAGCUCUUGGCAACAGAGGACGCUUGUGCCAAAUGGUGAGCUAGAGGCCUUUAAAUAGAAAAUUCAAAUGACUUUUGGCUUACCUCUUGGCCGUUAAUUGACCAUUGGCGUUUCGCAGACGUUUUGCAUGUAAAAAAAAAAAAAAAAAAAAAAUCAUGGCUGGUGCGAAAUGCUCUGUUUUCCUCUGUUUUUGGCUUCCCCUGUGUUGAUUAUCAUAAAACCUAAGUUAAAUCAAACCAAAAUAAAAUUAAAGCAAGAAAUCAAAAUCAAAACAAGUUUAAAAAUAAAACAAAAAGAUAUGGACUAGCUAGUCUUUAGAAAGACUAAGUCCAUAAAAAAAAAAACUGGUCCUGUUUCAGCUUGUCUUCUACCCGGUAUGCAUAUUUCAUCUUUGGAGGUAGCGGGUUAAGAAUAAGCUUUGGGGGCUCCUCCUUCGCAUGUCUCUGUAUCUCCACCGCAUUCAGUAAGGGCUGCAUUUCUUUUGUUCUCGUCCAAUGGAAUAGAUUAGCAAGCUUCUCUGAGGGUUCAGGUAACCCUUCAUCAUGCUUUGGCUUAAAUGUGGGCUGAUCAACCAUAACUACUUUGACUUUCCUCACCAUUGAAUUUUCUUCCUUUUGGGCCUCCCCUUUAUGGAUACCCUUGAGAUUUUGAUAUGGUUGAGAAGGAAAGUUUUCUUUUUCUCGCUCCAUGUUGAGGUGGAUAAGCCUUGAGCUUGAGUAUUCGAGAUUGUCUGUCUUCUGAGACAGAUCAUUCAACCUCCCAUCCAUCUUUCUGUCUUGGUUGUCAAUUUCUUGCCUGACUUGAGUAUUUUUUUUUUCUCAAUUGAUCAAUGAUGGAUUUCUGGUAUGCUACAAAGUCUCCCACAACCUUGGUAAGGUUCACAAUUGCUUGUUCAAGUUUCAAGGCUUGAUGUGGUGCUUGAGCGGGUUGCGUGUACUGAUGUGGUUGUGGUUCCCAAAAGAAAUUUGGAUGAUUCCUACAAUUUGAAUUGUAGGUGUUAUAAUCACCAAAUAUCUCUCUCGCCACUGGAAAUAUAGGACACUCCACCACCAAGUGCUCAAAAGAUUGAUAAAUGCCACAUGGCAUACCAAACAUCUCCCUCGCCACUGGAAGGAUAGGACACUCCUCCACCAAGUGCUCAAAAGAUUGACAAAUGGCACACGACAUAGCUUGCACUAGUGUUUUAGAAAUGGCAUGCACUUCUCGUAUCCAACAGGGCAUGCACAACUAAUAUCAACUAUAAUUAAAAAAAAAAACAAAAACAGAGGAAAACAAAAACAAAGCUACCAAAAAGAGUUCGAUUAACUAAAACUAAAUUAAAAGCUAUACUAGAAUAUAAACGAGUAAAGGAAAACAAACUAAAAGAAUUAGUAAAAUGACAGAAAACUCACCAAACUUGUGAUGAAAACCACAAGUACACUGAAAUAAUAUCACUAUGAAGUUGGCACCUUCCCCGGCAAUGGCGCCAUUUGAUUCGUUCCCAGCUGUAAAAUGGCAUGAUCCCUGGCGGUGGCGCCAUUUGAUUUGUCCCUGGCAACGGCGCCAUUUGAUUCGUUCCCAACUGUAAAGUGGCACGAUCCUUGGCGGCGGCGCCAUUUGAUUUAUCCCCGGCAACGACGCCAUUUGAUUCGUGCCUACUUGGUGUAUCAACUGAUUCAUGUCCAGCUGGUGCUCCUUGAUUGAGGGAGUAAUCAACAAAAUUUAUAACCUAUUACACCAUGAACUAAGGUAGCAAAGACAAAGCUACUAUAGCAUAGUGGCUCUAGGAUCGUUCAGUGGGAUGGGUUUUCACUUCACAAUUGAUAUUAAUUCAAAGCUAAAUUGGUGCCUUUUCAUUUCAAGGUUAGCUUUAAAAGAAAACAUAAAAUUUAGUUGAAAAAGGUUUGGUUUUAAACUAACAAAAAAUAAUAACUAAUUUUAAUUAUAAAGAAAAGUGGUUCUUGGAGUUUAGAUCACUAGGCUCAGAUUCCUUGUACAAAAAGGGAGUUUUGGUCACUUGUUUCUUUUCCUCGCAUUAGGGAUUUAACAUAUAGUUAUUUCCCGAACUGGUUUUGUACAGAUGCUUCCCAUUAAUGGGUUCAAACACUAAAUCCCUCUCACUGAUGCACCUUGCAAUGGCUCAUACCUCUCACCUAGCACUUGCCAUUCAAGGUGAUCUUUAACCUUGGAUUAACCGUCAAAAGCUCGCAAGAGAUAACUAAUGGAUGUCUCCUUGGAGUCCAAAAGCUUACCAAGUGUUGGCUAUUCUAGAAAAUCCUACCUUCAAACCACCUCCCAAAGGCUCGCAAGAGAUAAACUAGUGCAUCUCUAUGGAUGGAGAUCACUUGCCUUACCAAGUGUUGGCCCAGGUGAUUUAAAGGCGUUUUAAGUUAACUAAAAAGAUAAAAACCAUUAACGAGUCACACUUUCUCUUCAUUAAAAACUAAAACAAUAAAACUUCCAGUUUAUGCAUGAGGAAAUUUACCCGGCUUUCUUCACUCCAAGAGACGAAGAGCCUAGCCUCUCAUCCUCUGAGGAAAAAUCCUCAGAGUUUGAUUGGCUAGAAAGUAAAAUAACAAGAAAACAAAAAUAUAUAAGAAAAACAGAGCAAGUGCUCUGUAUUUUACUUCCUUGCAAAAUUGUACAAAGGAUUGAUCGUCGAGAACAAGGUCCCAAGAUUUCCUACAUAUUUUAUGUAAAGAAAAUUACAAACUAUAUAUAAGGGGUUAUUCACCCUUUGUUCUUACUUAAAGACUAAGGAAUCCUAUGAUUGGUGGGUUACAAGGAGAUUUUAGGGAUUUAGACAACAAAUAUCUAAAGCAACAUAUCUCAAAAUAUCCCAAAAUGUCGGUCGCAAAUAUCUGGAAGCUUCAGGAGAACACCGCGGCACUAUGCAGAAAAAUAUCUCAAAAUGUCGCUCGGACAUAUCAGGAAGCUUCAGGAGAACACCGUGGAACUAUGCAAAAUGGCUGCGAAACUCUCCGGAUAAGUGCUAUCAGAGGAUCCGGAUAUGUCUGACCGGGGAAGUUGAAACGCUCUCCUCUCCCAUCUGGCGUCAGGCACCGGAUGCGAAAUAUCCGGAGAAGGUGUGUGCUGGAUGUGAGACAUCCGGGUGGAAUGGCGGCGGAGCAGAAUUCCGGAUGUGAGACAUCCGGGUGGAAUGGCGGCGGAGCAGAAUUCCAGAUGUGAGACAUCUCGGUGGAAUGUCGGUGGAGCAACUCCAUCCGGAUUCCCCAAGAGGAAAUGUGGUGCGCUACCCUAUCUGGAGCAACUCCAUCCGGAUUCAGGAUUUGCUUAUGGCAAAGGACUUCAAAGCUUCGGUUCUUCAUGUUUCUGAGCUUUCCAUUGCUUUGCCAUGGAUUCCAAAGAACUCUCCUCAAUCUCGGAUUACUUUGGUGAUCAAAAAGCUAUCAAAACACCAAAACUUAACACAAUUUGAUUAGAAUUGAUUGCAAUGGUCCUUAAUAUACUAAUUGGGUUAAAAGGUGAUAACUACUACUCAAAAGUGUUUAAAAGAGUUAAUUACAAGCUAUGAAAUAGCACUUUUUGAGUAGUAAUCACUAGGCAAUAAGGAGACAUCCCAAUAAUGGUCUUGUAAGCUGUUCUAUAAGCCCAUAGUGAAUCAAGGAGCUUGACAGACCAAUCUUUUUUGUUCGUGUUCACCACCUUCAUCAAUAUGUUUUUAAUCUCCUGGUUUGCUAACUCAACUUGCUCACUAGUUUGAGGGUGGUAAGGUGUAGCUACCUUAUGCUUCACCCCAUACUUUGCUAGGAGAGUUUCAAAAGGCUUGUUGCAAAAAAUAGUACCCCCAUCACUAAUUAUGGCUUUGGGCACCCCAAAUCUUGAGAAGAUGUUCUCCUUGAGAAAGUUGAGAACCACUCUAUGGUCAUUGUGCUUGCAUGGGACUACCUCAACCCACUUAGAAACAUAAUCUACUCCCAUCAAGACGUAAGAGUAGUCAAAAGACAUAAGGAAUGGUCUCAUGAAGUCAAUGACCCAAACAUAAAAAAGAUCAACUAUCAAAAUAGGGUUCAAAGGCAUCAUGUUGCUACGUGUCAACUUCCCAACCCUCUGGCAUCGAUCACAACCCUUGUACAUGGUGUGGGCAUCUUUGAAAAGUGAUGGCCAACAAAAACCCGAUUGCAACACCCUCAUGGUUGUCUUUUGAGAAGCAAAGUGGCCUCCACAUGCAUUUUCAUGGCAAUGACUAAGGAUCCCCUGUUGCUCUUAUUUAAGAACACACUUCCUUAUUAUCUAAUCCGCACAAUACUUGAAUAGAAAUGACUCUUCCCAAUAGUAGGCAUGAAUUUUUGCAAAGAAGUACUUCUUAUCUUGUGCUUUCCACUCACUUGGAACUUCUCCCGUGACUAGGUAGUUAGCAAUGUGAGCAUACCAAGGAGCAACUUCCACCAACAUGAGAGACUCCUCUAGAAAAUUAUCAUUGAUGGGCAAACCAUGGGAAUUAUGUGUGAUAGCUAGCCUUGAAAGGUGGUCUGCUACCACAUUCUCCACUCUUUUCUUAUCUUUGAUCUAGAGAUUGAACUCUUGAAGCAAGAGGAUCCAUCUAAUCAGCCUUGCUUUAGCAUCUUGCUUAGUCAACAGAUACUUCAAAGCAGAGUGAUCAGUGAAAACCACAAUGAAGGACCCCCCAAGUAAGCACAAAACUUAUCCAAGGCAAAAACUACAGCUAAUAGUUCUUUCUUAGUGGUUGUGUAGUUUCUUUGUGCCUUAUUCAAUGUCUUGCUGGCGUAGUAGAUCACAUAGGGUUUUCCAUCUUCUCUUUGCCCAAGAACAGCUCCUAUGGCAAAGUCAUUGGCAUCACACAUUACCUCAAAGGGCAGUUGCCAAUUGGAAGCCCUCACUAUUGGUGCGGUUGUCAUAAAUAGCUUCAAUUGUUCAAAACUCCUUUGGCAUCUAUCAUCCCAUAUGAAUUUAGCAUCCUUCACCAAUAGUUCACAAAGAGGCCUUGCAAGCUUAGAGAAAUCCUUGAUAAACCUCCUAAUUGCCUUACUCCUUUGACAUUUGUUGGGGAUGGCAAUUUGACAAUGAGUUCAACCUUUGCUUUGUCAACUUCAAUGCCUUGCUUGGAGAUGAUGUGCCCAAGGACAAUCCUUUGUUGUACCAUGAAAUGACACUUCUCCCAGUUAAGCACUAAGUCUUUCUCAAUGCAUCGGUUCAGAACAGCUUCUAAGUUGACCAAGCAUUCAUCAAAUGCACUUCCAUAUAUGGUGAUAUCAUCCAUAAAGACUUCCAUAAUACGCUCCACCAUAUCACUGAAAAUGCUUAACAUGCAUAUUUGGAAAGUUGCGGGUGCAUUGCAUAAGCUGAAAGGCAUUCUCCUGUAUGCAUAGGUGCCAAAUGGACACAUGAAAGUGAUCUUUUCCUAGUCUUCAACAUUAAUUUCUAUCUUAAAGUACCCGGAGUAGCCAUCCAAGAAACAAUAAAAAGGAUGCCCAGAGACUCUUUCAAGGACCUGAUCAAUAACGGGCAACAGGAAAUGGUCCUUCCUUGUCACUGCAUUCAAUCUAAUGUAAUCAUACACACCCUCCAACCUAUAGUGAGGCGUGUAGAGACAUUUUCUCCCUUAUCAUUUUGCACCACCGUGAUCCUAGACUUCUUUGGCACAACUUGAGUAGGACUCACCCAUGGGCUAUCUGAUAUGGGGUAGAUAAUACUGGCCUGAAGCACUGUAAGAACUUCAACUCGCACCACCUCUUACAUGUGAGAGUUCAACCUUCUCUGAGGUUGACAAAUUGGCUUAGCUUAAUCCUCCAUGUAAAUAUGAUGGGUGCAGACUAAAGGGUUGAUCCAUUUCAAAUCAGAAAUUUGCCACCCUAUUGCCUUCUUACAUCUUAUAAGGACUUCAAGUAGACAAUCCUCUUGAUGAAUGGUAAGAGCUGAAGAUAUAACAAUAGAGCACUGCUUGUCUUCUUCCAAGUAUGCAUACUUCAACUCUGUGGGUAGUGGCUUAAGAAUAAGCUUUGGGGGCUCCUCCUUAGCAGCUCUUUGUGUCUCCUCCUCAUUGAAUAAGGGUAGAAUUUAUUCUCUCAUCCUCCAUGGAGACAGGAUAGCAAGUAAAUCUGAGGGUUCAGGUAACCCUUCAUCAAGAUCCCCAAGACUCUCAAUCAGAUCCUCAUGCAUUCUCUUAUCACAAUGCUCCUCCACUAAAGUGUCAAUCAUGCACACUUCCUCUAGACUUUCUUCUUCUUCCGGAUGGAUAUGCUUCUUGCACAAAUGGAAGAUGUUGAGCUUUAAUGUCAUGUUGUCAAACGUGAGUUGCAUGACUCCAUUCCUACAAUUGAUGAUUGCAUUUGAUGUAGCUAGGAAUGGUCUUCCAAGUAUGAUAGGAACAUAAUUAGUUCAUUUGACAACCGAAUCCAUAUCAAGAAAAACAAAAUCCACUAGAUAGUAGAAUUUGUCAACUUGAACCAAGACAUCUUUGAUCAUCCAUUUUGAAAUCUUCACUGAUUUAUCUGCCAGAGAUAGAGUGAUGGAUAUUGGCUUUAACUCUCCAAGUCCCAACUGCUUGUAGAUAGGGUAGGGUAGCAAAUUCACUCUUGCUCCCAAGUCCAACAAAGCUUUCUCCACACAAGUCCCUCCAAUACUCACUGAGAUGGUAGGGCAGCCCGGAUCUUUGAACUUCACUAGAGACUUGCACUAUAUGAUGGCACUCACUUGCUCAGUCAAGAAGGCUUUCUUGUUCACAUUCAACCCUCUCUUUACAGUGCACAAGUUCUUUAAGAAUUUUCCAUAUGUCGGCACUUGUUUGAUCAUGUCUAGCAAAGGGAUAUUGACCUUCACUUGCCUCAACACUUCAAAAUUUUCUGUUGCAUUAUUGGUUCCCUUUUUUCCAUGCAAAGCUUGAGGGAAAGGUAGAGGCAUGUGUUUCUUCAUCAUAUCUUCCUUGAUGACUAUCCUCUCGAGUUCUUCAUCCACACUAGAAUCAUGGUCAUCUUUCUUUGUACUUUUCCCUUUUCUCUUUCCUUUAAUUUCCUUACUCUUUUCUUUUUUUGCUACACUCUCUUUAUCAUGCUUUGGCUUAGAUGUGGGUUGAUCAACCUCUUUACUACUCCUCAAGGUGAUAACUGCUUUGACUUCCCUCACUUUUGAAGAUUCUCCCUCUUAAGCCUCCACUUCAUGGAUACCCUUGGGAUUUUGAUGAGGUUGAGAAGGAAACUUUCCUUUCUCUUCCACUAUGUUGAGGUUGGUAAGCCUUAAGAUUGCGUAUUGGACAUUGUGUAUCUUUUGAGACAGAUCAUUUUGCAUCCCAUCCAUCAUUUUGUUCAAUGUACUCUCCACACUGUCAAUUCUCUGAUUCAGUUAAGUAUCGAUGGACUUCUGAUCUCCCACAAAGUCUCCCACAACCUUGCUAAGGUUCACAAUAGCUUGUUCAAGAUUCGAGACUUGCUGAGGUGCUUGAGCAGGUUGUGUGUACUGAGGUGGCUUUGGUUUCCAAGAGAAAUUUGGAUGGUUCCUCCAAUUUGAAUUGUAGGUGUUGCCAUAUGAAGCAUUUUUAUUGGGCUUGAAUUAACCAAUAACAUUUGCUUGAUCACCAAACAUCUCUCUCACUGCUGGAAUGGUAGGACACUUUUCCACCAAGUGCUCAUAAGAUUGACAAAUGGAACAAGGCAUAGCUUGCACUGAUGUCUCAGAAAUGGCUUGCACUUCUUGUACCUUCUUCAUUUCUAGCUUUUCCAAUCUCCUUGCCAUAGUUGCAACCUUUGCCUUCAUGUCAAUAUCUUCAUUCAAAACAUACAUCCCACCCUUAGCAUUAGGUUGAGACUUCAUUCUUCCCACCUCUCUAGUGUUUGGUUCAUCCCAUCCUCUUGAAACUUCAGCCACAUAACUCAAAAAGUCCAUGGCUUCCUCCGGAUUCUUACUCAUGAAGUCUCCUCCACACAUAGUUUCUAGGAGUUGCUUCAUUGAAGAAGACAUACCAUCGUAAAAAUAGCUCACUAAGAGCCAUGUGUCAAACCCAUGGUGAGGACAAGCAUUAAUAGCUUCCAUGUACCUCUCCCAACACUCAUAGAAUUUCUCAUUCUCUUUAGCUAAGAAGUUUGAAAUUUGCCUUUUCAAACCAUUGGUCCUAUGAGUAGGGAAGAACUUCUUGAGAAACUCGGCUUGCAAAUUAGUCCAAGUUCAGAUACUCCUUGGCCUUAGAGAAUUGAGCCAAAUCUUGGCCUUAUCCUUCAAGGUUAAAGGAAAUAGCUUGAGCUUCAUCAAGUCAAUUGAAGCUCCUCCUUCUUGGAAUGUAUUACAAACCCUUGUCGAAUUCCUUAAUAUGCGAGUAGGGAUUAUCCCUUUCCAUCCCAUGGAAAGUAGGUAGGAGUGGCACAAUGUGAGGUCGGAUUACUAGCUGCUCAGUGGGAGGCAUUAUGCAUCAAGGUGCACUCAUAUGAGGUGGAUGCAUGUGGUCCCUCAUGGAUUGGUAUGCAUUGAAAUUAUCCUCUUGACCAUGUUGGCUAUUUUGGUCUUCAAGUGGAACAUCCAUGAUGUUCAAGCACACUUCCAACUCAGUUUCUUGAGGAAUUUCAAUCUUCACAAGUCUUCCCUUGAUAUCUCUUAUCCAAUAGGGCAUGCACAACUAGAGAUCACUGAAACAAAAACAAAGAAAACAAAAGAAAUACGAUUCUAGAAAGAGGUUAAGGUUAACUAAAAACUAAAUAAAAGAUAAGCUAAAAUAGAGAUAGAAAAAGAAUUAGUAAAAGAAAAAUCACCAAACUUGUGAUGAAGAUCAUAAGUGUUCACCAAAACUAAUGUCAAUGGACUUUGGCACCAUCCCCGACAGCGGCGCCAUUUGUUUCGUCCUUGACAGCGGCGCCAUUUGUUUCACCCCCAGCAACAACGCCAUUUGAUUCUUGCGCCUGAUGGGUGUUAUCAACAAAAUUUAUAAAACCUAAAUCACCUUACACUAGGGUAGCAUGGCUCCUAUAGUAUAGUGGCUCUAGGAUCGUCCACAAGGAUGGGUUUUCUUCAUACAAGUGACUUUAGUGAAGGUAAUGAAAUGAUGCUUUUCCUUGUGAAAAUUAGCUUUUAAAGAAAAUGGAAUUGUGGUUGAAAAAGUUGAUUUUAAGUUAAUAAAAAAUAGCAAUUGAAGUUAACUACAAAGAGAAUGUUUCUUGGAGCUUUACGUCACUAGGAUAGGGUUCCUUAGGAAAAAAGGGAGAUUCUGGAUCUUCUCCUCGCAUUGGGGACAAUAACAUAAAGGAUGGUUAUCUCCCGAACCAGUUUUGUAUUUAUCAAUUAAGAUUUGAUCCAAAGCGUUCAUGAAACAUGGUAGUUGCUUCCCAUUAAUGGCUUCAAACACUAAAGACCCUCACCUUGAACCACCUUCCGAUGGCUCGUAAUUGAUAACUAAUGAACAUCCAUGGAUCUAGUAAUAAGCAUCCAUAGAAUCCGGAAAGCUUACCAAGUAUUGGCCAUUCAAGGUGAUUCUCACCUUGAACCACCUUCCAAUGGCUCGUACUUGAUAACUAAUGGACAUCCAUGGAUCUAGCAAUAAGCAUCCAUGGAAUCCAGAAAGCUUACCAAGUAUUGGUGAUUCAAGGUGAUUCUAAGGGAUUUAAAGUUAAACCUUGAAAUAAAAACCAUUAAGGGUUAACAAUUACCUUCAUUUAAAGCAAGGAAAACUCCCACAUUUGCAUCCGAGUCCUUCACCUAGUUUCCAUCACUCCUAGAAACGUAAAACUUAGCCACUCAUCCCCUGAGAAAUUAUCCUCAGAGGUUGUUUGGCUAGAAAGAAAAAUGAAAACAAAAAUGAGAAGGAAAGGCAGAGCAAGGGCUUUGUAUAUUUCUUCCUACGGGAAUUACAAGUGUCGUCGUUUAAGAUUUUACAAAAAGAUAUAUAUAUAUAUAUAUAUAUAUAUAUAUAUAUAUAUAUAUAUAUAUAUAUAUAUAGAGAGAGAGAGAGAGAGAGAGAGAGAGAGAGAGAGAGAUCUUUACAGGCCCCCUUUAUAGUUCCUAACCAAGAAAUCCUAUCAUUGGUUGAUUACAAGGAGAAAAUAGUAAUUUACACAAAAAUCUGGAGAUAAAAAUCUAAUGGGGUCGAUGCACAAGAAUAUUUCGCAGACCAUGCGAAAUUUUGCAUGGUGUGGUUUCGCAAGGUGUGCGAAAUUGUCCUUCACUCAGUCCUGCAACUGCUUCUCUUGAUUUCGCAUGCUAUGAGAAAUUGCUACAUGUUGGAUUUCUUCCUCUGGUUUUCUUCCUUGCAUCUCUGAUUGACUUGGCAACCUAUUGCCAAGCUUGACAAAGGACUAUGAAGUGCUCCAAAACUCGGAUUCUUCAUGUAUUUGAGCUUCAACUUGCAUUGCCAUGGAUUGCACAAAAUUCUCCCUCAUUCUUUGCUUGUUUUAAUGAUAAAAAAGCUACCAAAAACACCAAAACUAGCCAAAAACUGAUUAGUAACCCUUGCUAGGUUCCUUAAUGUGCCAAUUGGUUAAAAAGUAUUAACUACUACUCAAAAGUGUUUAAAACAAUUAAUUUCAAGCUAUAAAAGAGCACUUUUUGAGUAGUUAUCACACUACAAUCUUCUUAUUCGGAGUGGGCUUCUCCCAUUUGAACCUCUUCACCAAAUGAUGCAUGAACACAAGUAAUCUCCAAAUGGUCGUAUUCUUUUCCAAGGCACAUCCAAGGUCCUCCUCCAAAUGAUGGGUUGAAUUUUUUGGGGUUUGGGAAGUAUUUAGGUUAUAUUUGGUUCCCAAGAAGUAUUAAGGAAAGAAAAAAAAUCUAAUAAGAAAAAUGAUUUUUUCAUGUUUGGUUUCAUUAUAAAAAAUAUGAAAGAAAAUAAAAUAUAAUUAAAAUUAGUUAAAAAUUUAUAUAAAAAAAUAAAUUAUUGACUUUAGAUCUUUUUUUUUUUCUUCACUUUUUUCUUUUCUUUACAUUCUUCUUUUCUAUUUUCUUUUUCUUACAUUUUUCCUCACUCGGGAACCAAACAUGCUAAAGAAGUAAACAUGGGAAUAAACAAAUAGCAAGACUCAACCACAACUCGUUUGACACUAUAUUAAGUUGUUGAUUAGCAUUAUGUUUGGUUCCUAAAAAGUAUCGAGGAAAAAAAUGUUAUGAAAAAUGAUUUUAUCAUGUUUAGGUUCACUACGAAGAUAUGGAUAAAAAAAAAUAUGAUUAAAAUUAAUUAAAAAUAUAUGUAAUUUUAAAUUAUUUGAUAUUUUUUUACAUAAAAGAGAAAAAGAAGUAAAAUGAAUUUUAAAAAACAUAUAAAAAUAAUUUAUUUAUUUUUCUUUUCUUCUAUUUUCCUCUUCAUUUUCUUUUCCUCGUAUAUUUGUCUUAAAUUUUCUAGGAACCAAGCAUAGGCUUAGGGUUUUUCGGUGUGUUGAAUUUAUACUGCAAUAUAAAUGCAUGGUAAUAGUUAUAUAAAUCACAAGUGAUAAAGAACUAAAUGAGGGAAUAACCAAACAAAUAGAUUCAAAGUUGAAGCCCAUGGAAAUUAACCACCUCUCAUGGUACAAUACUAAGUUACUAAUUAAUGGAAGAACUAUUGAUAAAAGGUAAUGAUAUAUAUUAAGUUAAAUUAUUACAAAAUCAUAUUAGUAUUUCAUCGUAAUUACAUGGUAUGUUUAUAUCGAUCACCAACAAUAGAUAAAUAAAUGAAGAAAUAAAUAAACAAUGAGACUUAAACUUAGGACUUGUAGAAAUCAAAUCUUAAUACUAUAUAUUUUAAGCUAGCAAUUCAUUUAGAAACUUAAGAUAUUAGGUAAUGAACAAAAAAUAUAUUUAUCAAACUAAUAUUAAUGAUGAUCACAUAGUUUUAUUUUACUUGAUGUAAUAUAACUAAGUGGUAUAGGUUACACAAAAUAUAAAUAAUAGAGAAAUAAAUAGACAAAAAUAUUCAAACCUAGAUCAGUAAAAACUAUAACACCUCUAGUAGAAUGUUGAGUCGCUGCUUAACCUAAAAAACUUAUUAAUAAUGCCAGUCUUCAAGAUAUCAUCGCAUCAACAAGAUUCUCAUAGGAACUGGGAAGUGAACAAAGUAGCAGGACAACCUAGUCCUUGUCUUCAAUCUUUACAUUAGCACUCUUCAAAUCAAGAAUAAUCUUGUUAGAUAGAUCAAGAUGAUCCUUAAUUGUCAUGCCUUCAUCCAUCUAAAGUUGAUACAACUUGUUUGUAAGAGACUUUGUGAUGCGACUCAUGGUAGCUUAGCUUUAAAGGCGUAUCAACAAAAUUUAUACCUUAAAUACUGUUACUAAAGUAGCCAAGCUACUAUAGCAUAGUGGUUCUAGGAUCGUUCACUGGGAAGGGUUUUCGCAAACACUAGUGAUAUUCAAAUUAGGAAAAUAUGUGAUUUUCUUAUGGAUGUUAGCUUUAAAAGAAGAUGUAAAUGUUUUAGAAAGAUUUAAACUAAUCUAAGCUAACAUUAAACACUUAAAUGAAAGGGUGUAAAAACAAAUUUCUCAAAGAUAGGAUAGCUAUGCUUUGGCUCUUAUGCAAAUUGGAAAUCUCAGGAUAGGCUCCUCGCGUUGGGAUUGCAACUAUGGUGAUGCUUGCUUCCCAUACCGGUAUGGAUUUAGCAAAUCAAGUUUUAAUCCUUUAAAAUGGCAAAACAGAUGGUAGUGAAUUUCAUCAAUGGUUAUUCACCUUAGACUUCCUUUGAAUGGCUCGUAAGAGAUAACUAAUGGUCUAAAGCCAAAAGCUUACCAAAUAUUGGCAACUCAAAGUCAUUCCAGGUGAUAAACUCGCCUUUCAAUGGCCAUUGAAAUUGGUUCUAACGGAUUAAUGCAAAACUUGGAAUUGAAAACCUCACCUUCCAAUAGCUCGUAGGAGAUAACUAAUGGAUAGAAAUCCAAAAGCUUAUCAAGUAUUGGCCUUUGGAAGUUGUCCAAAGGAAAUAAAAACCAAACUUUGCAUUAAUGAACCAUUAAUGAAAAACGACUACCUUACCUUCCAGGUGCGAGAAAUUUCCAUGGGAUUGCAUCCAAGCCAUCACAUAACAUCCAUACUUUGAGAAACUAAAAGUUUUAGCCAAUCAUCCUCUGAGGAAAAGCCCUCAUAGGUUGUUUGGCUACUAAGAAAAUAGAAAUGGGGAAGAACAGGAGAAGAGAGAAAAACAGAGCUUUAUAUAUUUCUAAGUUAAUGUACAGAGGAUUGAUCCCCAAUUCCCCCCAAUAUCUUUUGGAGGCGUUGUGCACCUCUAUAUAUAGCAAAAUUACAAGAUAAAGCCUUAAGUCGGCUCAAUACAAGGUUACAAAAGGAAUUUACACGAGAAAAUAUCAAGCUAAAAAUAUAUGGGAAGUCGGUGGUGCAUGCGUGGAGAAACAGAGGAUUUCAAAGGCAUUUUCGAAAGGGGAAAGAUGAAGGGUCCAAAUUUCGCAAGGUGAAAAGCCACCUUGCGAAAUUUCGCAAGGUGGUUCUUCAUGGUGCGAAAUGGCCAAAUUUCGCACCAUGAAGAAAAUCUCCUUGCGAAAUGAUGUUCCCAUGGAUUGAUGCAGUUGUCUUCCGAAUGCCAUAUCUUCCUCAUUUCAGCUCCAAAUCGUACACAGUUUGAAGCGUUAGAUUCUUGACUUCCUGAGAUUUGAAAUGGUAUAUAGAAUGUAGAAAAUGAACUUCGGAAAGUGCUCCAAAAGUGCGAAAGAAGACUGCAGCUUCUGUCAUUUGUUUUCUUCACUUUGCUUGUUUUUCCUCUUUGCUUCUCUCCUUUACUUGGCUUGUCUUAAUGAUCCAAAAAGCUGUCAAAACACUAAAACUAGCCACAAAUAUGAUUAGAAGUCAUUGCUAGGUCCUUAACAUGCCAAUUGGAAUAAAGAUGGAGAACUACUACACAAAAGUGCUUAAAACAUAAUGAAUUAAAGGUGUAAAAUAACACUUUUUGGGUAGUAAUCACUUUGUCAUGUACAGACUUUCUAAUUUCAACCAAAUUCCCAAAGUAGUAGUUUCAUCUGAAACUUCCUUGAGAAUUUCAUCUCCCAUAUGACAAGAUGAUUGUAGCUUGCACUUUACUCAUCAAAUCUUUCGUCUCAUUUUCAAACAAACUACUAGGCAGUUUUUCAAACCAUCUAAGAGCAUCUUCCAACCUUCGAUGGACCAGCAGUGCUCUCAUCUUAAUUCGCCACAAAUUGAAGUCAUUGCCUUUCGUGAACUUCUCGAUGUCAAACUUUGUAGUUGUCAUUUCAACCUUCCUUUCAUACCAAUUUGUUAUGAACAAAGUAAUAAUAACUCAGAAAAUAGCAGCAAGUCUAUUGAGAAAGAUUGAGAAUUAAUUAAAACCAACACAAACAAGUACACAUUAGACACAUAAUUUACGUGGUUUGGGUAAUAUCCAAUAUUCAUGAGCAGGCCCAGAUUAUUUCUUCAAUUAUUGAACUAGAAUUGUACAAAGUCUUUCCUUUUCAUAGUGUUUCCCAGAGAUUUUAAACACCAAUCUCCCUUACUAAAAUUGAAAACUCUGAACGAAAAAAACUCUACAAUACAUCCAUCAAUUUUUUUUCCACAUUAUUAUAUGCUUUGAGAUCAACACCACCAGAGACAAAAUAGUUGUCUUUUCUUUAAAGAGAUAUAUUGCAGCACUGCGCACUGUGAUACAGCCAUCAUUGGAAGAAGACAAACCAGAGCUAGACCACAAGGGCUAAUGCUGAGGAAGAUAAUUAAACUUGUUGGCAGAAUGGCCAAGACUUCAAUUGUACAGUAUAUGUGCCAUACACCUUUAAAUGAAAGACUAAUCAUUGCUGAAUUUUUGUGGGUCGUUGAUUUUUAGAAUAAGUCCAAAUUUUCUUUUAGAAGAUACUAUAUUGUAUAUUAAAAAUUAUUAUUAUUUUAGAUUUAGAAGAAAAGGAGCCUUCAGCAAGUGAAUUAUAAGACAUUAAUCACGUAAGCAUGAUGCCAAUGAGAUCUCCUAGACAGAUUCCAAGAUUUCUGUGCUUUGAUUUUGGUAGAAUCCUAUCUUCUUAGAAAUGAAUUAGAAAAAGGGUUCACUUACCUUACCAAGUAUAAUUGUUUGUACCCGAUCUCAUUUCUUUGUAUUCUUGAAUUGUGAUUCCAUUUGUUUGUAUUUUCACUUGACGGUUUAUAUCUCGUCAUAUACAUUCAAUGAUCCAAUCCAAAUUUAAAGUUGAUGGAUACCACCACGUAACUUAGAAAAAAAGCAUCCAAAUUAAUGCCUGUUCCAUUCUUGGUUAGUGUGCCGCGAGGUACUCCUGUGCUGCAUGUCUCCUUUAUUCAAUUAGGUUGCGAAGCUAUAUACAAAUGAGAAAUGAAGGGUAGUAUGUAGAUAUGAUUUCAGAGAAAGGACAGUUUUUUUGGAAGGGAGGGAGAGUUAGAAAAUGUGGAGGCUUAAGAUUGCAGAUGGAGGCAAUGAUCCCUACAUCUUCAGCACCAACAACUUUGUGGGAAGACAGAUAUGGGAGUUUGAUCCUGAUUAUGGAACCCCAAAAGAGCGAGCUAAGGUCGAAGCAGCUCGUGAAAAUUUCUGGAAAAAUCAGUUUCGGGUUAAGCCCAGCAGUGAUCUUCUCUGGUGAAUGCAGGUGAUCCCAUCUGUGUCAAAAUCUGCAAGAACACGUAGGAACAUGAAUAUAUAGUAUAUGUAGGGUAUGCAUGCUUAUGUGACUGAACCAAAGAAAUGGUUUAGCUUCAAAGAUUGUCUCCUUACGAGAGUAAGAGAUUUUACAAGACGAUGUAAAUGGUCUGGUCUGCAGUAUCUUUUUCUCUUGAGUAGAAUUCAACACUAAAAAGGUUAGACCUUAUUCUACUUCUUUAAUUAGUUAAUUUAAUGUAUUGAAGAAUAAUAUAAUGAGAAAGUGGCAAUUCAAAUUUGGGCAGGGUGAACACCUUGGGCUUAGAUUAAUUAAUUAAUCUUGUUCUCGCUUAUGUCUUCAACUUCUUAUACAUUCUAUAUAUAUAUAUAUAUAUAUAUAACAUGUGAAAUGAAAAAGUUGAAGAAAGAAACUGAAAAAAUAGAUGAAUUUAACAGAAAUAACUGCCAUAUUAGUCCAUGUAAUGUUAAGAAUCUUUUUAUAGAUAGAAAGAGAUAUAUAGAACAGCAAUUUUGGACUUAAUAUUAGUAUAGAUGCUUUGUACAGAUUGUUAGGGUUAACUUCAGGCUGGACCCUGGGCCCAAAUCCAGCACAACCCAACUGAAUUGAAUAGAUCAUAGGCCCAUUGGGUGUUGAACUUGUUCUAGGCAGACAGGACUUCAGUGGUAACCCACCCAAAUUAAGUAUGAAUCCUGUGGCCACCAGUACAGUAUCUCCCUUUGGUUCAUGGAUAAAAACUUAAAUCAUCUGAAUGACUCUUUUACUUUGGUUAUCAUUAAAAGAGAUUUUUAGGACACUAGGACAUUCUCUAUGCUCGAUAUUAAUGGAAUAUGGAAGGUUUACUAGUUUCUUGUCAUGACUGAUCAUUAAUAUAAGAUAUAAGGUCACUGUUAAAACAUGUGAGUUAUCAGAUAAGAUUUUAAUGGGCAAAGAUAAAGACACAAACCUCUUUAUUUUUUAAAUUGGGGAAAUAGAUAUGUAUUGAUGAAAACUUGACCUACCAUCAAACGAGACUCACUUCCCUUCUUGAUCUAGUUAUUGUGCGCAAGGGUUGGGGUGGCCAUUGGGCAUCAUCUUGCCCAAAUCCAUAGGAAAGAGUAUCACAUGGGUUGGACUAUUGUUGUGAUUCAUGGCAGAGUUGGCCCUGAUUGGGGCUAAUAUCUAGGAGGUGAUUCUUGGUUCUGGGUUUUUGCAGCUUUGGGUUGGAGUUCUAGUUACUGCAUCUGAUUGGUAAGUCUUUUGAUUUUUAAAUUGCACUUUAUUAUCUAAUAUUUUGCAAUUGGUUUAUUAAAUUUAACCUUUCAUGAAAUGUCAACGUCUUCAAUCUCAGUGUAAUAUAUUUUAGGUUUUGAAUAGAUUUUGCUGGAGUUGUAUGUUUUUAAUUAUCUAUUUUAGGAUAUGUUUUAAGGUAUUUUAGACCUCUUAAAACAGUCAUUAUCAACUCAUCAUAAAUAUGUUUUAUGAUUUUUCAUGUUGUACACGACAUUGAGGGAAUAUUUUAAAGGAGAUGAUAUUCUCUAACAGAAUCGAGUUCAUUGCUCCCUCUUUCACGAAUAUAGCUUUGGUUGUCAUUGCUAAAAUUUAAUUAUGUGAUGUGCUUCUAUUUUGGAUAGAGGGAGUCAUAGUGGUAGCCUUUAAGUGGGAAUAUGAAGUUGGAUCUCAUGCAUUUGCUUGGUUGAGAUAUACAAGGCUUACAUGCUCGGGCUCUAUUGAAACUCCAAGAAUCAACAAGGAAAGUCACUGACAGUUGUUUUCCCAGGUUUCAUCAUUCACCUCAUCAAAGCUUUAUAUAAAGAUGAUGUCUUCCCAUAGUGUGGGUUGUGUGUGAGCUCUCCUUUAUUUGUUGUAGAUUGGAGCUGGUGGAUUCCUUGAGAGACAAGCAAAAAAUAUUUCAUCCAAAUGGACUAGAGUCAGAAUAUGCCCAGUUGUUGUUUGCAUAUGCAAAAUCAUCAUCACUAUUGAGAGAAACUGUAUUUCAUUUUCUAGAAAGGUUGAAUGGAGAUGAGACGUAAUAAAGGGUCAGAGGAUUAUUAAGACACUAAAAAACAAAUAAGAGAGAAGAGAUUUGUUAAGAAGUGAAUGGGGCAUCAAAGUGGAUGAAGAAUGAUUACAAGUGGAUGUCCUCUUUGUUGGUAGUUUGCAUUUGUCACUCAUCCCCCUGUUUUUAGCCAUCUUGGUUUUAAUUUUUUUUUUUCUCCAAUUCCUUUUCCCAUGCUGUACCUUGCACCCUGAACCUGCUAUUUGUCUACAACCUUAGGUGAUGAGACACAUUUGACUCUAUAAUAUUUUUAAAAAUAGUUUUUAAUAGUAGCUUCUAAAAAAAAUUAGAAACAAAAUUUUAUUUCAAGAUUCAAAUGUCAAAUACCUUAUUUAUUGGUGAUUAUAUUUAUUAAUAAAACUCAGCAUAAGUAGCUCUGGUGUUUGUACAUGUCCUCGCUUCUUUCAAAACUUAGAAAAGUUGAACUUCAUUUGAAUUCCUAUAUUGAUGGCCUUGUGAGCACAUAAACAAAGCAUAUUUAAAAGAGAGCAUAUUUAUUAAAAUUUAAUAUCUUAAUAAAAUAGAUGUAUCAAAUUAUUCUUUUCAAGUUUUACAUGAACACAAAUUAGUGUAACCAACUUUUGUCAGCUUUUGAUUAGUUCUCAUCCAAUGAAAUAGAUGAUUGGUUGCAAUUUUUCUCAACAAGUUUGAGACCUUGAAAAUCAAUUGCAAAGGAAAGGAAAACCAGAUUAAAAUAGCCGCCAAAGACCAUAGCAGAGAAAAAGUAUAGGAAAGGAAAACCAGAUUAAAACAACCAUUGGGUAAAAUAAAACUUAAUGUUGUUAAUCUCAUUGCAUCAUUCACUUUAGUUUCUAAAUCUAUAUUAUUUAAAUUUCUUAGAAAUAUGCAUGUAAGUAAGACUUCUUACUUGGGAUGGAUGGAAGCAACCAACAAUGGCUUGCUUAUUCCUUCCAAUGCUCAUAGUGAGAAGAUCAACCCAAUGCUGACUGAGGUUACGAAAUAGGAAAUCCCAUAGGAGGAUCUUCAAAUUGGUGAACGUAUUGGCAUUGGUAAGAAUUUAUUCUCCUGGAUUUAUUCAUUCUUGUUGAAGAAGAAAAAAUCUUUUGGUAAUAGGAAAUACUUCAUUUAUUAUCUAUUUAAUAGAGGUUCCUUAUAUUUUGUGUUUCACUUUACUUUUGAUGAUGUGACAAAAAAUCUUUGAAUUUUUUGGCAAAUUAUGAUACUUCAAAAUGAGUUUCAAACAUAAUAUUUAAAUAGUUGAUGGAUAAUGAUAAGAAAUAGAGAUGCUUAAAUCAAGCUUUAAUUAAAUAAACCAUUUUCUUACCAAAAAUAAAUUCCAAGGUUUUAACACAAAACAGAAUGAGAAAGGAAUAUAUAUAUAUAAUCCCUAAAAAGAAGUUAUUAUUGAAAAUGGAAGACAUUAUACGAUGACUCUUGAAAAACUAUUGUUAAAUUAUAUAAGAUUAUUUGAUAAUAAAAUUUUGCACUUUAUCAACCAGAUUAAUUGUAAAAAAUAACAAAGAAAGAAGUAUAAAAAUGUCAAGGCCAAAUGAGAGCUUAUUUAGUGAGGCUAACAUCCUUUUGAAUUCUUAAUAUUUGAGAGGUUUUGGAAACAUGUUAUUUCUAGAAGAAUGCCGCUCUUAAGAUUAAUUUCAGGCAAGCCUACAAAUCAAUGAGAAUUAAGAAGAAUACUAGAGCUACUCUUGAGUGGGAAUGUAGCUUUGACAAAGUUUGAUCCAGGGGGUUUCCCUCUUAGGUUUAUGUAAACUAGGAUGAAAUCCAAACAGAUUUCUUCUUUCUGUUUAGAUCAUUAGAAGUACUUCCAUUGAUUACAAUUCUGUUGUAGGUGCGAGCAUUUAGAAGUUUAGAGUUCUAUGUGUGCUACCAAUGAUGUUUUCUUUAUUUUUUUUCCAUUAUUUUUCUUUUGAUUUUAUGAGUUCUACACUUGUUGCUCUUUAAAUCUAUUUGUAUUUUUAGAAUUUCCACAUGUUCUAGAAGUUCUUAAGCAUUGCCAUAAACAUGAGUAUUUUUUUAUGUCCAUGUACAAAUGCUAAAACACCCUCUAAGAAACUCUAACUCAUCUAGAAAAUUGAUAGUUAUAUAUUUGUUAAAGAUACUCUAUCAAAAUUAAAUUUUGGCUUUAGGGUGGUUGGUAAAUUAGCAUUUAUCUCCAAACAUACGAGAGAUUUCACCCAAAAACCAACUGGUGUUCAUUCACUAUUAUUACUUUAUAGAUUAGCUCUAUAGAUGUUUUCUCCCAUUUUCUAAUGCUUUCACUAGUUUUUUUAGCUUUUUGCUAAGUUAUCCUUGAAGUUUUAGGUGUUAGCAUGGAACUUCUGGUGACUAUCAUGCCUUUAUUGUAUAGCUUUUCCACCAAGGAAAUGGUCAAGCCUCCUACUUGGUUAAUUAGGCAUUUAGUCUAUUUUACGUGAUCUCUUUUCUAUAUUAGGGCAUUUGACCUCCUUACGUUGGAUGUCUUGUUUCCCAAUUAUUUUGUUUGGAAUAUUGAGGCAUGCAUUAGAGUUGGUAAUUAUUUUUUGGAUGCAUGCAUUAGAGCUGUUAAUUAUUUUUUUCCUAUCAGAAAAAAAACACACCCAUUUAGAGCCCAUUAGUGAAUGAUUUUGAGAGAGUGAGAAAAACUUGAAGUACUUUGUUAUAGAAAUUAGGCAUUUGAAAAAAUUUUGAAAAUCACUUUUAAAAUUUUGGAUAAUCACUACAUAGGUGAUUCUUCCAAAAAUUAUUAUUAUUAUUUUUUGGUUAUGUGACAUAUUACCAAAAACAAUAUCAAAUCAUUUUUUUAUUUAUAGCCAAACCCCAAGUUAUUCUCUUUAAAAGUGGUCAUAAUGGAAGUGUUAUUAACAAAAGUAUCAUAGACUAAAAGUGCUACAGGCUAAAAGCGCUUUAAUCAAGGUAACUCUCGAACAGACUCUUUGUCUCAUGAAGGUCAUCCAUGGUAAAUGAUAUGAUUUAUUUCUAAUUGAUACACAUUAAUUUUGGAUGUCAAUUUUACUAAAGUCAUUGAUUUUGUGAAAUGGUAAGAUAAUCAAUUGGGAUUUUUUUAUUGGUAAUAAUCAAUUGGGUUCUUAUGUUUGAAUGUAUAUCUAAAGAUGAAAGAAUGUCUAUUCUCAGUGAAUAUUGCAUCUUGUUGUCAUAAUUAGAAGCCUUAAUCACAUUUGGUCAUAAAAUAACUCUUAAAGUUCGGGACAUACUUUCGCUAUUAAGUUUGGGACAAUCUCAAAACAGAGAAAUAAAAGUACUUUGGAGUUUCUAAUUCAAUUCCCCUAUUUUUUAUUUUAUUUUUUAGUGUUUUUGAAGCUUCCUUAAUGUUUAUAGGUAGAGAUGGUUAUGGAAAAUUGGUUCAAAGAGCGUUGGAAACCCAAAGGCAUCUUGUAGAUUCUAAUUCUAAGUCAGUUCCAGGAACAAAAUCUUUUCAUAUAGAUAUCUGGUUUCCUGACAACAUAUUGCAUAUUUUGGCUUCUUUUAUGGAAAAUUCCAUGUUUUUUGCUCAUGUAGUCAUUGCAUUUCAAUCUUAUUGUUAUCAUGUUCUCAAUAACUUGACUUUUAGACUUAGAACUCCUUUAAAGCAAUUCAGUGAUCCCAAAUGAUAAUUAUCCUUUCUUACUGCUUAUUGAUGAAGAACAUUUAUCCACAAACUAAGAUGAAUAUAUAUAAAUUUUUUUUAAGCAAAGAUAUUUUAUUGAAGAAGUGCCUAAUAGAUGGCUUACAACCCAAGUAUACAAAAAGUAUAUAAAGCCUGCCAAAUAAUUUUUAUUUCCUAUUUUUUCUUUUCUUACUUGUGAUUAAAAAAUGUGAAAACUAUUUUUAAAAAGUGAAAUUAUAAAAUCUUGUUUGAUGUGGAGUUUUUGCUCAUGUAAAAAAUUUAAAAUAAACAUACUUAAAAUUUUAUAUAAUAUACCUGUAAUGUUGUGGAAUAUAUUAUUAUAAAGGAUAUUAUUAUUAGUAUUAUUAUUAUUUAAGGUUCCUUUGAGGGGUUCUAUCUAACUUUCAUAGGUUGUUUUCCUCGUUAUCUUUUUAAUACAUUCUUUUUAAAGAUUUUUGGUCUUUUGCUGAUUUUAUUUUGUAUUGUACUCUCUGCACAUCAUCUUAUUAGUAGUGAUAUUUCUCAGGGUGCUCAUUAGAUGGGCCACUGCCAUGACAACACAGGAUUGUUUGUUGGCACUCAGUAUUGUUUUUUUUUUAAAUGUAUACAGGUAAAAGAUUUCAAGUUCAAGAGUAGAUAUGCAACCAACAUGUACUUUUGGCUAGAAAUAAUUUUGGCUUCUUCUUCUUCUUGUAAUAUUAUUUUUGAUGAGGAAUUUAGAGACCUUGUUUUUUGGUACAUGUGUACUUGUUUUUUCUUGAAGUUGGAAAAUAUGCUUGUUGUAAAUAUUUUGAUACAUUUACAAAUUUACGUAUUAAUUAACUAUGUAGACAUUAGUUCUUUAUCAUGAUAUUAUUCCCAAAUUUAUUCAAUUUCUUUUGGAAGAUAUAGUUAUUAAUAUUGAAGUUAUUGUUUUGUACUUUAUAAAAAAUCAUGCAGCCAAAAUUAUAUAUAACAGGAUAUACAAAAUAUGUCAUUUUAAUAGGGGGGUUUUCAAUAUUAUUAUCCACAUAAGAUGACACUUUUUUGAGUGUCAAAAUAGACAAAUGAUAUUUUGGACAUUCAUUGGCGCUAGUGUAAGUGUUAACAUAGGUAGAUCAAUAAUGACGCUUUUCAAGGUGUCAAUAUAGAUCAAUCAACAAUGACGCUUUAUAAAGCGUCAAAGAUAAUGAACAUUAAAGAUGACGCUUUAAAAGUGUCAACAUUGAAAAUUUGGUGGAAUAAUGGCACUUAAAGAAUGUCAUGCUUUUGGAAAGAUGACACUUGGAUCAGUGUCAAUGUAAGUGCUUUUAUAAAUGACGCUUUCUAGAAGCGAUAUGGUUGUCUGCACCCAUUCCUUGACAGGGGCGAAAAGGACGCUUUUGAGAAGUGUCAUCUUAUACAUUUAUUGACGCCUAAAAAGCGUCAUUAUUGCCCUUCUUUCUUAUAGUGUACGGUUCAAUGAGUUCAAUGUGCAACAAGCUCUCCUACUAUGCGUCAGAUACGUCAUCUUCAUUUCUACUAACGAAAAAUGAAAUAGAAAAUUUAACGGUGAGAAUGGAGGAACUUUAUAAGAGUAAUUUGAAAGGCAAAAAAGUAGCAGCAGAUGGAGCCACAAGUCCUCACCAAGUUCGUGAUCCAAAUAUAUUGAAGACUAAAGGAAAUCCAAGCAAAGUUGCAUCAAAUUUUCAAAAAGGAAGACUAUGUAGUUGUUGUAAAAGAGUGGGCCACACAAUUUGAAAGUUUCCAGAAGCUACAAUCCGUCAUACUGGUAAUCAGCGUGAUAUGGUAUGUGAGAUUGAAUAAGAAUUUGUCGCUAAUCUAAAGCUUUUUAGGUGUACUUACAUAAAUAACUAACACAAUUUUUUUCAUUGCAUUAUGAGUAUGGUGCAGGAAGGUAAUUUGUCUUCCCAAUGUGACAUUCAAAUGGAAAUGAUGCCUUCAAUAAAUUCAUCAAGUCACAUGUUUGGCACCUUACCUCAUGUAUAAUAGGCUUGUUAUAUAACAACAUAAGCGUUGAUAACAUCUAAUUUAACAGUAAUUGACAACACUUAAUCUUUGAAAAUGCAGGGAAUGGGAGGGGAGAAUUUGUGGAAUGACCCAUCUGACAUGUAUAUAGAUUUUGGAGUACUUGGCAAUGUAAGCUCGGGGAUCGAAAACAUUUUGGACAUGAAUUUUAAUUAUGCAUUACUUAAUGAUUUUGUUGAAGUAAUUGGAAUGGAAUUGGAUGGCUCAAUUUUAACCAUGGAAUGUGCAUGUGCAGAUAACAGGAUUUGAGGAAUAUGAAGAAACUAUUACAACACCACGUGAAGGCGAGGAUCCAAACAAUACUCCAAAUGAAAAGGAUAUGCAACCUUUUUGUUAUUCCUUAACAGAGUAAGGGAUGACAAGUAUUAAAUCGGUAUUUUUAUCAUUUGACGUUAUCACUUUGGCUAAUAUGUACUUUUAAACCAAGUAUUUAAUGAAAAGUUUGAAUUCCCAACUAGAGUCAAAUUGAUUGAUAAAAUGCACUAUCCUCCAGAUUUAUAAUUUAUUUGAUAACAAGUGGUAAAAUGAUUGGUCAAACGGGAAACCAAUUAAUUUAUAUUAUGUCAAAAAAAUAGUUGGGCAUGAGGAUAUAAUUAAAGGAAAAUGUGGUUAAAGUUUGAAAAUUAGGUGGUUAUAAAUUAACUAUAAGAAAGUAAUUGAUUUGAUGUAAUUCAUAUGCAAUUGGUAAAUGUAGUGAUAUAACUCAAAAUGGGUAAAUCAUAAUUCGGUAAUUUGGAAUUGUAGUUUCCAUCAUUUCCAAUCCUUUUAAUUGUACCUAAUGGCUCAAUCACCAAUGUUAACUGGUUGAAAAGUAUCCACUACCACUUAUAGUUAUUUAUCAGACGAUAGUUGUACUGAGAAAAUGCAUGAUUGCAUUAAAAUUCUCAACCGAUUGACACUGCAUACAAUAAUUUCUCAAUGAGAAAUUUCAUCAGUCGGUCAUUUGAGCUCCUCAACUGUUAGACACUACAUCCAAUAUUGCUUGAACUGUUUGUGAAAUUUCCUCAGCUGGUUGGGGAAAAUCCUCUACCAGUAGACACUGCAUCCAUAAGGUCAUUAUCCGGUUGAGGAAUAUUCUCAACCAGUUGUCUUAAUUUCAUGGCUGAUAGACACUGCACGCAACUGAACAGAUGGACCGAUUAGUACCAAUUGAAGCACAUUUCUCAACUGGUAACACUGCCUUUAGAAGUCCUUGUUGUAAUUCACUCUUGCUAAUUGCUAAAUAUGAAUCGGCUAACCUAUACUCCCACCGAAACUGACUAUAUACUUUUGACCAUAGAUAAAUGAAUAUAUAUAUAUAUAUAUAUAUAUAUGUGUGUGUGUGUGUGUGUGUGUGUGUGUGUGUGUGUGUGUGUGUGUGAGGAUCAAGCCUCCUUAAAUAGCCAAAAAGAGGAGACAAAGCAUUGUUUGCUUUUUGACUAACUGCCAUGAAUAGUAAUCUCGUGCAUGAAUAGUGAAUAGUGAAUAGUAAAAUUCACUUUUCCACCGAAUUCCACCAAAAAAAACCCACUUUUGGCUGAGAAGACUACCGACAAGCUGCUUUAGACUGUGUAGUCACAUGCUUGCUGCUUUUGGUGCUGAAACUGCAAAGCUGUAAAAUAUUCUUGAUGGUAGGAAGACAUAAGGCUGAUGAUUACUUGGAUCUUCUUAUUGGAGGAAGGAUUCCUUCACAAUCGUCACCAUUGUCUGGAAGGUAGCUUGUUGAAUCAUCAAAUUCUGCAUAAGAAUUUUCUUGGGAGAAGCUUGAUCUUCCUUCUUCAUAUAUAUAUAUAUAUUUGAAAAGCAACCCAAAAUAUAUAAGGACAAAAAACAUCUAAAAAUCUAAUAGAUCGUACAAAAUCAUACAUGACGAAAAUGAAUGAUGCUAUAUAUUGCAAUUUCAUUUUGCCGACUAUAUUGAAAGAAGAGUAUAGCAUAUUAAAAUAAAACUGACUUGAUCAUGAACCAUGUAUGGUCAUCUAAGGUCACCACUUCCUAAUCGACAUGAACAUAUGUGGAGAUGGAAAUGAUAAGUAUUAAAAAGCAACAAAUGUCAUAAUAAUAAUUUUUUCAUUGCUCGUGUGGAUGUCUUUGUACAAACAAUAGCCAAAAUGGUUUGUUUUUCUCUGUUUCCCUCGUGUAAAACUAAAUCACUUGCUAUUCCCGACGUAUUUUAAUAGAAUUACAUAAGUUGGAGGCCUUCAUGGAAUCACCAUUUUUGAAUGUCUGCAUAUGUUUAAUGACAUGCACUCCACAGUCCCACCUAAGAAAAAUAUAAGAAAAGAAAAACAACUUAUUGAAUGGAUGUAUAAUUAUAGCUCAGAUAAACAAUAUUAAUGUGAGUAAUGUAUUCAUACUAACCCAUUAUCUUGGGUCAGAAUUGAAGGAGCCCAAUCAAUGGAGAAUUGGAAGACAUCUUUCCCUAUGUCAUACAGUUUCAAGAACAUUUGACAAAAUUCAACCUAAUUUAUUUUGAAAGUGUUAAUAAUUGUGGAAGAGAAAAAAAAAAGCAAAUUAAAAGGAAAACAAAUAGCUGAAAGCAUACCACUGUUUUGACACUCUUAAAUUGGAACUCGUCUCGACUCCUUGAUCGCAAUGAAUCCAAAAUUUGGAUGUGAGAGUUUUUAAAUUCAAUGACGCAAAGAUACUAAUGAUCGGGGCACUCGUCAUGCAUUAGAAUAAAUAGCUGUAAAGUUAGGAAAACAAUAUCUAUGAGUAAGGGCACAUAAUAUCAACACUAUUGUAUGUGAAAACAAUAUUUACUCUAAAUUUGAUAUAUGCAAUUAAAUAUUACAAAUUAUUACUAACCUUCUCGCAAUCAUCCAAUUCGUUGAUUUACUUACUCACGAUGGAUGUUUUUCUAUCAAAAAAAUGAAGAGGAGGACUCCCGCACAAAAUCAUUUGCUAAUAAUAGAACAUAAUACGAACAUUAGUAUAUUGUACUUAAUAUGUAAGUAAACAACAAGAGAUAUCUGAGAUUACUGAAAAUGUCGUGGGAAGAUAGCAUCUUAUACUUCGUAUGCCUAUGAAUUGCCUCUCAAAAUAAUUUAACUUUGAUGCUUCUAGAUUUAUUACCUGUUGUUAAACAAUAACUUUAAUAAAUUUGUUUAAUUAAUAAAACACGCAUUUUAUAUAAAUGAAGUAGGUACUUAUAAUAUCCAACAAAUUUUGUCUAGGACGUAAGCAAUCAAAAUCUCCACGAACUCCAUGUUCACGAGCAAAGUCAACAAGAAGCUCACUAAAAUAAUAAUAUGUUAAAACAUUGUUGACUGAAUUGGAAAAAUAUGAAGACUAAAAUUGUAACAACACAUCUAUGAAUGUUCUAGACACUACAAACCUUUUUGACAAUGCUUUAUUGAAAACAUAAUCAGCAACAAGAGAUUGAAGUACAUUGAAUGAUUGAGCAUCCACCACGUCUUCACAAAUGGAUAUGGGGAUUGACUAAAUUGAAAACAAGACAUAAUUAUUAGCUAUAUAUGUUGAGUAUCAAAAAUAAGAACAUGAUAUUAAACUAUUUGUAUUAUACCUCUGAUACUUGACGUUUUCCUAUCUUCCUUAAAUUGUGUACAAACGGGGAGAUCUUGAAUUUACUUGGUUUCCUCUCCCUUGAUGUACAUGUUUUCAUGACAUGCUCGGGAAAACCACAAAGUGCUCGUAAUGGUUCCUAAUAUGGAAAAUGUCAUUAAUAUACAUCUAUUUACUAUGGAAUGGUUAAGUAGUUGUAAAGAAAAUAAUUUUUUCUUUUCUAGGAUACAUACCUUUCCAUAAUCUCUUCUAAUUCUUUUGAUUGGUAGUGGUAAAAUAUCAACAUUUUUGUCUGGAAUGAUAUGCAUUUUAAUUGAUGUAGCAAAUGCAUCUUCAUUCUUUCCAUUCAAGUCCUCAGUGCAUAACUUGUCAAUUAACAAAGUGUGAACAUAAUAUUCAUUUCCUUUGUUAUUGUCCUUAUCUUCCAAACUUCUCUCGCAUGAGAGAAUGUCAUUCUUCGUUCCCUCCUCGUGCAUUCUCAAAGGUUUUUCGCUUGACCCAAGGAAGAGACCUUUCAAUGUAGUAUAUUUCUCCUCAAAUUCAAUAAAAACUUUUUCACAACUACUACUACUUGCACCAUGAGACAAAUCAAUUAGAUGUGUCUUUAAUUGUUGAAAGGUUUUAUCCAUCUCCAUUAAGCUCCCACCAUCAACCUAGUGAUAUAUAGGAAAUUCAUUAAUAACAUCAUAAUACAAGGGUUCACUACUAAUAUUGAUAGUCACGAUGAAUAUUGUAAAACUUACUCAUUUAAUAACAUCUUUGUUUGGAUUGAGUUCAAAUUUCUCAUCCUCCUCAUUCUCCCCCUCCAUUGUCUUCGCAUUUUCAUCAAUGCAAUCCCUUAUCUCAUUUUGUAUCAUCCAUAUUUUGACCUACAAUAUAUUCAAAAUAUAACACAUAUCAUAUUUAAAUUCACUAAAAACUUAAACCAAUAUUAAACGACUUUUGAAACUAUAACUUACAUUGUCAUUCACAUAUCCACCCUGUUUUUUCAAUCUUCAUUUCAUAUCCAAUACUUCAUCAUCUCUCCAAGCAGUAAUCCGAGGAGAAGGUUGAGUAUAUAGCGGUAGAAAUUUCUCUUCGAACGAUAUAUGCUCGUGGUAGAAUAACUGCAAUUAUAUUUUACAUAGAUAUAUAGUUAGUUCACAAAUUUUAUUAUAACAAAUUCGAAAUUCACUAUGAUGUAAAUUAUGUACAAGGACAUUACCAUUAAAAACAAUAAGCAACCAAAAACCCCACUUUUUUGGUUCAUCUUAAACUCUUCAAUCCCGUGCACAAGAUAAGACAACACAAUUUCAGCCCAAUUCAACUUUUUUAUUUAAUCGAUGUCUUCCACAAGAUGUAAGAAAGAACAUUUCACAAAACACUUCAUUGUUGGAUACAAUAAUGCACCCAACACAAAUAAUACAAAACGAACUUUGAAAUCGUUUCCACCUUCUUUAUCCUCCCUAAUAUGAUUUUCUAAAAUCACUAAUGGCAAUCACCCCUUUUUAUCACAAUAUUUUUUACAUAAAUCAUUCUUAUGGCUAACAUCUUUGUUCAUGUCAAUCUUCAACCCUCUUGUCCUCAAUCCCAUAAUAAAUUCAACACCAAUGGAGGAUAAUUUGAUACAAGUAUUAUACAACUCUAACAUAUAAGUGUUCGGAUUGAAACUAUUUAUCAACUAAAGACAUAACCCAUGAUCAAUUUUCCUACAUCGAAGUUGCAAGAGGUUACCAAAUCUUAUUUCUUCUAUGGUUGCUUUUUGCUUUGGUUCUAAUUCUUCAAUAACUCUAAUCACUUGCUCGGGUGAGCAUCAAGUCUGAAGAUAUAACUGAAAAGAUACACAAACCUCAAACAUGUUUACAUUAAUAUAAUUUGCAACAAAUACAUAAGUAAUUGAAUUUUAUAUUCAUUACAAAAAAUUUACCUUUGGACCCACACCCUUUUGAAGUGAAUAUUGUUUUGAACUUUCUUUUAACUUUGCCAUGAAAUCUUCUUUUUCUACUUUUGAAAGUGCAUUCCACUUCUUGCUCAAUUUAAAUUCUUUUUAUAAAAUGUAAUUAUAUUAGUCACAACAAUAUUACUCCUUACAUCAUCAUUUAUCUUCACUCCUUUAUCCUUCUCUUUGAUCAUGGUCAAUUGAUCGUUACUACAAAAAAAAUUCAAACAAAUAUAACUAUAACAACCACAAAAAAAUAAAUAAAAAAACAUAUUCUUUUACAUAUUUCUAUUUUCCCUUACUAAUAAUGUAUCCAAGCUCCGAUAGGCCUCUUUGGAUUUCUAACAACUUCAACACCAUCGCGUUCGCUCCUAAAAAUUAAAUCAAAUCAUUUAAGUCAAUUUUUAUAAUAUGAUUUCAGAUAUAAUAAAUCAAACAUACUUUCACCACCACUACAAAAUCCUCCCUAAAUCUCUGUACAUUUUACAUGGUCACAUAUUAAUUAAUACCCUUUUCUCUAAAUUUAUUGUUGAGUAGCUAAGGGUCUAAGAGAAGUUUUUUGGCUGUUGUGAAAAGAAAUAGGUUCUCUUGCAAAAAUGAGCCAAUCUUUUGAAAGUAAUUCACCUAAUGAAGAAUGGGAGUCUAUUGUAUACAAUUUACAACUAAAUUCUGGUUUUUGUUGUGGUUUAACUGUUAUAUUUCCUUAAAAUUCUAAAUCAAGUCAACCAGCAAUAUGCAUUUCGAUUUUCAAUCAUUUUUUUUCCUCAUAAUUUAUUUGAUUUGCAGUUUCAUGAUGAUGACAUCAUUUUAAUAAGCAUUUAAGAAGGAAAUUUAUGAAGAAGAUCAAUUGCAUCUUUCUUAUGCUUUAGGCUCCCAGUUGAUUUUGAUAUUUGUCUUUACAAUUAUUGCCAGGAAGAUCUAUACUAUCCACAUCCACUGGUUCAGGAUAUUCUAUGGGCAUCUCUUCAUAAGGUGUUUGAGCCUAUUUUGGGGCAUUGGCCCGGAAACAAGUUGAGAGAGAAGGCCUUAUGCACUGUAAUGCAACAUGUACACUAUGAAGAUGAGAAUACACGGUAUAUAUGCAUAGGGCCUGUGAACAAGGUACAUGUGAAGUAUAGAAAGGUCCUUUGAACUGCAAUAAAUGUAGUGAUUACUAAGGUCAAUAAAUGUACCGAUUACUAUUAAUUAAGAACUAAACCAGUUAGCUUCUUUAGUUCUACCACUCUACUCAGGUGCUCUUGAUCUAAUUGUCUGUUCUUUUCUGUUCCAUGAAGCUCUUGAUUUCCUGUUAUCUGAUUUGUACAGGUGUUAAAUAUGCUUUGCUGCUGGAUUGAAGAUCCAAACUCAGAGGCCUUUAAGUUGCAUAUCCCAAGAAUUUUUUAUUAUUUGUGGAUUGCUGAAGACGGCAUGAAAAUGCAGGUCCGUAGUCUUUCUAGUUUAUCUCGGUGUGCCAUUUCCAUUUUAUUGGAAAUUAUUGAAUUUUAUUAUCUAUCUGUUUACUGCAGGGUUAUAAUGGAAGUCAAUUAUGGGAUACUUGUUUUGCUGUUCAAGCAAUUAUUUCAGCAAACCUAGGUGAAGAGUAUGGUCUGACUUUAAGGAAGGCACACCAAUUCAUAAAAAAUUCUCAGCUUCAUGUUGCUAUUGAAGUUUGAUCUCAUAAAUCACCUACGUAUAUUAGCAGUUGUCCAUAAUGAUUUUACUCGACUAUUCCUACUUUGUUUUCAAGGUCUUAGAAGAUUGUCCUGGAGAUCUGAAAUUUUGGUAUCGUCACAUUUCCAAAGGUGGUUGGCCAUUCUUAACUGCUGAUAAUGGAUGGACAACCUCUGAUUGUACAGCAGAAGGAUUGAAGUUGCAUAUUCCAAGAAUUAUUGAUUAUACGGACAUUUUUAUUGUUUAUUAUCUAAACUUUCAUUGGAAACAGUUGGAAAUAGAAAUAGUGGGGAUUAAGGUUGAGGGCCUGGGGUAUAACCAGGGUUGAGGCCAACAGUUGAUGCUGAAUGUUAAUUACCUUAAAUUUCGCUUAGUGAGUCAUCACCUUAAAUUUGUGUUUGGAAUAUUUAUAUUUAAAGUUGGCUUCUGCGUUUGGUGUUUUGUGCACUAAGGCAGGCAUCUGGAUGUUUUUAUUUUUGUUCACUGAUACAGAUUUUGUCGUGAUUUUCACCUAUAGAUGCAUACAUUUGCACCAAAAGAGCCUCAAUAUCUUUAGUUUCCAAACAGAGUUUGAGUGAAUCCUUCAUACAAUAAAAUCAAAAUUAUAAAAUAUCUAUUUUAAUUGAUUUAUAAAAUUCACAUUUAUUAAAUUUAUUUUAAUAAUUUUAUAACUUUUUUAUUUCAUAUUUAUCCAUUUUAUAAAAUAAAGAUUUUUGUUAUUAAAUAUUUUUAUUAUGAAAUUUACCUUUUUUAAAUUAAUUUUUUUAUCCUUACUUCUUUCAUGUAAUAAAUAAAUAUUUUUUAAAAAUUAUAUAUUUUAAUUUAUUAAUGAGAAUUACACUAGAGCAAAAUGCAGUUUUAAUUAACUUAUAUUGAAAUUAAUUUUUUUUAGUUAUCUAAGAUAAUAAAAUUAGAAUUCAAAAUGAACUCAACUUCCUUAGUUUAUGAGAAUUAAUUUUUUAUAUUAAAUGAUUGAGAAAAAAACUAAAAAUUAUUAUUCAGUAUUUUUAAAUAACAUUGAUAUAAUCAUAUAAAAUAAAAAUGAAGAUGAUAUUAAAUAAUACAUUAUUUUUUUUAUUAUAAAUUAUAUAUUUUAAUAAUAUAAAAUAUUCUUACUUAACUUCCAUUACUAAAUUAUUAACCUCCAAAAUUCAAUAUAAAUACAAUUUUACUUAGUUAUUAAUGGAAAAAAAAAAGCCUCCAACAAGAAAUUGACAAGUUUUUUUCUUCUUCGUUACACUGCAAAUCAAAAGUCACAAUUAAAUAUAUAAAUCCAAGAGUCAAAAAUCUAACUUUGGUACACCAGACCAUAAAAUUCUCCUUAGAACCAUUCUCCAUUUUAUGUGUUAAGUUGUGUUUUAAAAGCCCAAUCGGACUAGCCGAUCCGACCACCACUGCUCUUCCCAACUCCUGCUGCUAGCCCCCUCUUCCCCCUUUCUUUUGCAACUCUUCUCCCCAUUUUCAUAUUUUAAAAUUUGUGAUUUUAAUUUAAAUUAAUGAAAACAUUACGAUUUUAAAUAAAUAUCUAAAAACUUUGUGUCCCUUAGAUUUUAAAUGAAUUUCCGAUUUUAAAAUAAGUUUAUGAUUUAAAAAUAAAAUUUAAAAUUUCUAAUUUUAAAUUAAGAUUAUGAUUUUAAUUCAAAUUUAUGAUUUGAAACUAAUUUUUUGUUUUUUAAAUAAUUUUAUGAUUUUAAAAUAAAAUUUUGAUUUUAAAAUAAUAUAUAAAUUAUUAUUUUAAUUUUUGUAACUAUUUUUAAUUUUAAUAAUAUAUUAGUUAUAUAAUUAUGACAUCAUCAAUUCGACUAUAGUUUGACUAUCAGUCUAAUGAAUAAACCAUGAAUUGAUAACUUUUCUAAUUCAACAAUCGGUGAAAGUAUUGGUGUUAAGGGACAUAACAACUUUGAAAGGUACGUUGGUCUCUCUAAAGUUUAUAUCCUUCUUAUCAAUGGUCAAUUAUAUGAUUUUGAAGGAUAAUUGACCCAUUAUGAACAAGUGGACUCCCUUAAGCACAAUUCUCCCCCAAAAAACAUCUAGCAUUGUCGUCUACUCCAUGUUCAAAUGUCGGUGGCCAUAUCUCCUUAGAACAACAACCAUAGAAAAAUGAGCAUCCAUCAUAACUGGUGGCAACAACACAGAAGAUCAAUUAUUUCCUUUUCUUUUUCAUUUUUUUUUGUUUUUUUUUUCUUUGCAAAACUGGAAUUUUUUGACUUGUCCACCAUCUAAAUUAAAUUUUUUUGCUUUGAUUGCGACUUUAAUUGGACGUGUUGGGGAAAAAUUGGUGAAACGUCACUUAAACAUAACUAAUUGAUGUAUCAGGGACUGUAUGUCUUAAACCAUAUUAACUUUAUGAUUGAAUGACUGAUAUCUAUCAGGGACUGUCCCUGGACUCCCAAAAUAAUACAAGUCAUGGGGUUGGUGAUUGACUUGGUGUUGUGCUUCCAAGUUUCUGAAGUUUCUGAAGUUUCUCUCUUCUAUAUUAAGUUUAGCUAAUCAAUCGAUUAUGCUGAUACAAAUGGAAAGAAUAAAAUUUUUCCUACUUUAUAAGCUAAACAAUAUCUGAAUGAUUCUAUGAAAAUAAACUAGCCAUUACCUUCUUGGAUGAAUAAUCUAGUAGAGGGAAGAACCAUUGGAAUAGCCUUACACAUUGUUAUAUUUGUCUUAAAUAGUGAGUUGUUGAUUUGGUUGGGUGUGGAGUUAUGUAAGUAGGCUAUCACAUGAUUCACAUCUACUCUAUGUUCAAAUACUGGUGGCCAUUUCUCCUAAGAACAACCACAAGAACCAUAAUUAUAACUGAUGGCAACAACACAGAAGGUCAUUUAUUUCCUUUCCAUUUUUGGGGGUUUGCAAAAAUGGAAUCUUUCACAUGUUAGUUGAUUGAGACUUUCCAUUUGAAUGUUAGUUGAUACAAUUUGAAUGCUAUAUACCUAAUUGAUGUGUCAUUUCUUCAGUAUAUUAAUUUUAGGAUUGAAUGACUGAUAUCUAUCAGGGACUGUCCCUGGACUCCCAAAAUAAAUUUCUAAAAAUGUACAAAUUUAUGUAACAUCAAUGCAUAUACAUAGAUAAGCAUAAAUUAAAUGUUAGUGUUCUCAUUCAUAAAUACAAGUCAUGGGGAUUGGUGAUUGACUUGCUGUUGUGCUUCUAUAUUAAUGAGCGAUUCCCUCCCGGAACUCGCCAUUCCAAGUUUCUGAAGUUUCUCUCUUCUCUGCCCACCCAGCACCUAUCUUUCUGUCCUUGGUCUGUAUCAUUUUAACUUAAUUUUAGUGCAAAGAAAAGCUUGUCUAACCUUUCUGGUGAUUGCAUGAUCAGCAGGUGUUUUCGGAAGGGAGACACACAUUUUUGUAAACUUAGAUAUAUAUAGAGAUAUACCUCGUCAGUUUGGUGAGUUUGAAAAUGUGGAGGCUCAAGGUUGCAGAUGGAGGCAAUGAUCCCUACAUCUACACCACCAACAACUUCGUGGGAAGACAGAUAUGGGAGUUUGAUCCUGACUAUGGAACCACAGAAGAACGA